rnacentral:lncRNA from 1 species
CUCCAUACAAGGUUUGAUCAACAACUUCUUCAUUGAUUUUCUGGUCUCUCUCCGGUGUAUCAUAGAGCAUUUUUGACAUGUUUCUGCAAGAUACACUUGUUAACUUUAAGCGACAUAAGUGCAAAAAAAUAAGAUCAUGUUGUAUUGCCUGUGCUUCCACUCUGCCUUGUUUAGUACUAUUAUGGAGCAGUACUUCCAUAUAGAACCAGUGAUCUCCAGUUCAUUAUGUUGCCUUCUUUAAACUAACUUUAAUUAUCUAUACAUAUAAAACAAAGUGGUCCCAUCAAGGGGCUAAAUCAAGAAUCAAGUGGGGCGAACAGGAAACAGUGGCAUCAAUUUUUAAGUCCAUAAGCUUUAAUAAAAGGAAUAAAACCAAGGAUAUGAAUAUGUUAUUUUUUCAUUUGUUCAUGCACUGGAAGAUCUUUCCUCUUCAAGCAUUGAACCAGCAUCCUUCUGUGCAAGUUGCUGUCGGAACCUUCUAUAAUUGUCAGAAGUCUGUUUCUGAAAUAUACAGAUAAAACUUUUAGCAAGUCUUGACAUUGCUCAUCACUAGGACAUUGUACUAGGAUACCAAUUCAUCUAAUUAGGGUUAAGUUGGCAUCUCGUACACUAUUUUUUAUUUUUCCUUCAUCUUUUGUUCCCAUUUGCAGUGGAAGUGGCACUUAGAAUAUCUGAUCAUGAAGAAUUAGCUUUCGGUGAGAUGAUACUAGGUCAAUUGCCAUUAUCUUUUUGAGUUACUGUGCGAGCAAUCUUGAAAAUAUUUUGGGAUAAAUAGAAUUUGUGCUUAUCAUAAACAUGCUAAACAUCCAAAUCAAGUGCUUUUACUAUUGAUAUCAAAUCAGUAAUUGAUUUUAACCUUUAUGCUUAUCUUUCAGAUUCUCAAUUAUGUAUCUUGAAUAAUGAUAUUAAGCAGAAAUCAUGAAUUGAAUUGCUUUAAUUAACUGUGCCUUAUCAAGCUUGUCAGCAGUGCUAUUGCUACCGCGAAUCAAAUUCGCUGUGCUUCCCGCCUUCUCCAAAUAAGCCACAAGCCCAAUUAUAUCCGCCCUCCUCCCAUCUCCAAGGGAUCAAAAAAUAAAAUGACUUCAAUCAAUUUUCAAGUUUUCCAUCUUGAUCAGUAGACCACCCGGCAUGAAUGUUACCCUCAGUUUAGGAAUAGGAAUUCCUUUUACUAAUCAUUUGGCACUAAAAACUAUGACCCCUAGCAAUUCAUUCCCUCCAUUAGAUAUCUGGGGGCAUCUUGGCUCAGCCAAAAAUGAUAAGUCAUUGCAUUUCACAUUGCAUUCAUUUGUAUUAAUGAGCUAAUUUUUUUUCACAGAAUGUGAUGUGAAUCGAAUUACUUCCAACCAUGUGUCUCUAUAAGGGUUUAACAAAUGUAAUUUGCAUUGUCUGUACACUUUUUUUUCGGUUUCUUUUCUUUUUUAUGCAUGAUUCAUUAGUCCACGGAUCUUCUAUGCAAAGUGUGCAGGCCAAACACCUCCUUCAAUGCAUUAUUCUAGAAGUUAAGACUCAGUUUACUCCUUAAUUGAUCUGUUCCAUUUACUUCAAAUCAUUUGAUUACAUUAAAUGAAUCUUGAAAUUCAAAAAUGCAUCAAAGUUAAAAGACCUUCCAAUGCAUUAAGAAAUCAUCUGAUACAAAUAUAUGUGAACCUGCAACAACAAUAAUGUCAAAAUGGAAAACUUAGGUAGAAAAUAUUAGAACGGAAACUUACGACGAACUCAAUUUUUGGCGCCUUUCUUCUUCUCAUCUUCUGAUCCAAGAAGCUCUUCCAACACCGUGUCAUCCAAACACUCGAACUCAAUGACUUGCUUUUCUUGCCCAGAAGAGGAACCUCCCAUCUCUAAACUCCUACAAGGCCCAGAAGAUGACGAGGAAGACGAUGAGGAUGGUGAUGGUGGGGGGCGAUGGGAGCCCAUGAUUUCAGAAUAGUACUCAUUAGGAAAGUUAAGAAUGGCAAGAUGACCCCUUAAGUUAAAGGCCGCUCGAUCAUAGGCGCGAGCUGCAUCCUCCGCCCUGUCAAAUGUGCCUAGCCAUAGACGAGCACCUUGCCUAGACGGAUCCCUAAUCUCGGCUGCAAACUUCCCCCAUGGCCUCCUCCUCACCCCUCGGUAUCGAACUUCUUCCUUUUCCUUCCCUUCCUGCUCCUGCUUCUCAUUCCCUUUCGAAUGAUCUUCCAUGCUAAACGUGUCGAUUUGCUAGGCGCAAUUUUUUUGGUUUCAAAUGUGCUGGUUUACGAGAGGCAUGGAUGCUUAUGUAUAUAUAUGGUUGCCACAGUCAGGUCUGACGUCACCGCUCAAUGUAUGUUCCACAGCGUGGGUUGACGAGCUUUCUGAGGGGGUUUCCUCGAAUUCAAAGCAAGUAUAAAAAUUCGAUUCUCCGACCUUUCCAAUGAGGAUCGAACAGGCCUUUUAUUAGAACCGUAUGAUAACUCCACACUGUUUUCAAAUAGUCAAUGUGAUCUAGAUUCUUCGUUAAUUUUUUCCACCUGACUGAUUGUUUACAAUUUUAUUUUUCACCGUCCCAAAUUUAAACCAUUUACGCGAUUCCCUGGAUUGCAUUUUUCUUUAAUGUUGACUUUACGAGGCAAUAGGACCCCCCAGCAACCCCACUAGGGCGACUUCAUGGGAACCAGAUUACUUUUGGAUCCAGAUAUGGUCCAGAAGAAAUAAGACAAAUCAAUUAAUGUCCACUAAAGUUUUGAUGGAACCCUUAGUCCGUGUUUCCUGUGGAUGUAUGUAUUGUAUGCACCUCAAUUUUCACCAAUCCCUGCUACGAGUCCCUUUAAUUUUGACGUUAUAAAUGUUUUUCCUGACAUUAGCAGAGUGUUUUUCUGCCGUCUUUGAGGACCUUCCACGGCCCAUAAACUAAUAAGGAUCGUCCAGUGAAUUUAGUCUUCCCCAGUUAAUUAUCCUGCGAGGGAAACUUGGGCAGUAAGUUGCCUACAUGAGUGGCUCCCGCCUACAUGAGUCAAGGGACCAUACGUCAGGACGACAACCAGUGUGGUCACACCAAAGUGGGUUGCCUGGACUCCAGGGUGGUCGCUUCAAAGUUGUCAAAUGAAGGCUAGCUUGGCAAGUUUUGGAAAACAAUUAUUGAAAAACAUUUUUCAUGAAUAACAGUUUCUAUGAACAGAUUUUAAGAAAGUUUAUUUUGUGAUUUUUAGGAAUAUUUUUAAUUUAAAUUUUUAUAUUUUUAAUUUUUUAUUAAUUUAUUGAUUAUUUAAUAUUAGCUUAAUUAAUGGAUUUUUCUUGGUCCCAAAUUAUUAAUUUAUCAAGAUUUAAUCGCAUCCAUAAUUAGUCUAAUUUCUUUUGGAGUGAGUGUGACAAAGUGCAAAUUUCUAGAGUUUUAUUAAUGUUAUUCAAUGUCAUAAUUUAACUAAUUAUAUUAAUUAUUUAUUAAUCAAAAUAAAUCAUUCACUUGAAAUAUGAUAAUUUAAAUUAAAAGUUUCAAUUAUUUAUUAAUUAGCAAAGUAUGAACUUUUCUUCUUGUUUUAUUAUUGUUAUUCCAUGUAUAUAAUUUAAUUAACUGUUUCCAAUAUUAAUCAAUAAAAAUAGAAUAUAAGCAUGAGAAGAAUUAGUAAAAUUCAUUGAUUUGGAAUUAGAUAGCUAGAGGAAGAACUUCAUCAUCUUCCCAUUACUUAAAUUUGUAUAAAUUCUAAAUAUUUAAACCCCCCCCCCCCCCCCCCCCCCCAAAAAAAAAAAAAAUGGUAAAGAAAGACUCCCCAAGCUUUCUUGGUUGGUGUUACCCUAAAAUUUGUACAAUAAGAUGAACCAUUUGGCUUAAAGCUUGGUGCGAAACCCCUUAUCAAUUGAAAAUAUCAAUGAAGUUGUUGAAUGGUUUUAGAGGACUAUUCUUAUGCAGAGUGGCAUAAGAAGCGAGGAGAUGAAGAGCGGAGAGACGUUAACAUCGGAUGCUGCUACGAAGGUGGGAAUACGGUUAAUUAAUUAGAUUUUGUGAUGGCUUUGAGUUUGAAGGAGUUAGUUUAAUGGGUAUUAUUAGUGAACUGAUAAUUGGAUUUGAUGUAAAGAAGGUUGGUCCAUUGGAUUAGCAAUUGGUUUGGCCUUUUGGGGGCCCCAUUUCCAAAUGCAUUGCCUUUUACAAGCAUUCAACAUCGCUGGACGUAACCAGGCUUGGUUCACCUAAAAGUAUCGCAUGGAUUGAAUUGACUAAGUUUUCAUUGUAGACUAGCCUUGAUUUUCCCUUGACCUGCCCACCAAAUCCUGAUGCCCACGCGAGGGAAUACCUCAAUUUUCUAAUAAUUUAUGCAGUUUCUCUUCAAAGCUCGUGUGAUCACUUGGGUCGGUAAAAUAAUGCAUUCCUCUACUUUUUCUCCCUUCCUAGAUGCAUGUUAUACCAUUAAUUCAAAUGUGAACAUGGGCUUGGCUUUGAAACUUGGUUCAAGGCCCAACAUGUUGACCCACAAUUGAGGUGUAAUUGAAUUUGUACACUUUUCGACUUUGAUACCAUUUGUCAUUACCAUUGACAUUGGGUCAUUGUUGAUUUUGAGUCCACAACUUUUAAGGUUGUUAUUACAAUUUUAAAUUGCGCCCACCCAAUUUAUAUGCAUUAUCCCUUAUAAAUACCGAUAACCUCUCUUUCUUCGAUAAUAUAAAAUGUCACAUAUAUUAUAUAUCUCAAUGUUUUCUUUUACUUUUUUUUUUUUUAUCGAUCGACAUUCUCUCUCAGAUGAUAUGAGAUGUCACAUAUAUUAUAUGUUUCAAUGUUUCUUUUACUUUUUCUCUUUUUCCUCAUGAUUGACAUUGUCUUUCUCAAAUGAUAUGAGUUGUCACAUAUAUUUUAUGUCUCAAUGUUUUCUUUAACUUUUUUUCUCUCUUCUUUAAUGAUCGACGUUCCUUUUCUCAGAUGAUAUGAAAUGUCAUAUAUAUUAUAUGGCUUAAUGUUUUCUUUUACUUAUUCUUUCUUUAUUAAUAAUCGACAUUUUAAGCAAUAUGUGAAUAUAAAGCAUUAAAAUUAUCUCCAUCGUUUUUGGAUGUGGUAUAAAUACACAAUUCUUAUUUUUGUUUUAAAUAUUUCUAUUGCUAUCUAUUGAAAUUUUAUGCAUGAAGCUACCAAGUUAAUUAUACAUAUAUCUUAAGAUUUUUUUUUUUUUUUUUUAUAGGAUAUAUUGUCCAUGAAUAUUUUCUGCAAUGGUAUCUUGUUUGAUUACUAUAAGAAAUAAUAUAUAUAUAUAUAUAUAUAUAUAUAUAUAUAUAUAUAUAUAUAUAUAUAUAUAUUAUAUUUCAAUGUUUCAUAUUUGCUUAAAAUAAAAAUUAUAUUUUAUCACAAUAUUUGGUAUUAAAAAAAAUGAAAUCUCUCUCAUUUAUUAUUACAAAAAAAUUAUAAUUUAUAAUUUUCUAAAUAAGUUUUAUUUAUUUGCUAACUAUAUUCAUGAUUAAAAGAUUUAAAAUUUAUAAAUAAAAAAUAUUAUGUCAUGUCAUUAAAUAAAUAAAAAUAUAUGUAUAUAUUAAAAUUAUGUUUUAUUGUAGCUUUUAAUAUUUUUUUUUUUAUUCUUUUCUUUUUUGAACUACAAUUUUAAUUUUUUUUAAUCAAAAUUUUUUAAUUUACAAAACGAGUAACAUAAAACUUGCCUUUGAACUUUAUUGGAAUGUUAUAUACUACCAUUUGGCUUUCAAGACAUUAGAAAAGGCAUAAGUGUCCCUUUUAUUUUUCCGAAAGGCAUAUUAGACUAUAGUAGGAAGUGUUGUAUAGAGGCAACUAAAAGUUGCCUUUAACUUUAUGAAGUCAUAUACUCCUCUUUGGCUUUGAUGACAUCAACUAGCAAAUUGGAUUUUGUUUCCUUUGCAACAUUUUUCCAUCCAUUAGCCAGUUUUUUUAUACUGUUUGGUGCUUGCCAACAUGGCACACACUAUGGUUCUUAAAAAGUAUUUUUUUUUUUAAGAUACUACGAAAUAAAAUACACGAUUGAAAGAUGAGUCACAAUAAUUUUCAAAACUAAAUUUUUUAAUAUUGUUAAGAAAAUUUGACCACCAAAUGAUUGAUUUUAAAUUACAAAUACUUUUGUUAGCUAAGAAAUUUGUUGUUCUAUUUGUUUCCCUAUAAAUAUGACAACAAUCAUAAAUAUUUUCAUUUUAAGAUAAUUUUCAAAUAUCUUCCAUUAAUAAUAUAAUAGAAUUAGGAAUUUUUUUUUUAGUUAUAACAAUCUAUAAUUAUUUAAGAGUCUUCCUCAAUCUCUAGGUUUAAGAACUUAUUGUUCUUAACAACUAACAUGUCAUCUCUUAAAAUAAUACAUUCUGCAAUAAUUAUUGAAAUAUGAUAUAAUAUAUAUAUCUACUUACAACCAUUUUUGUAGUACCAUUAGAAUUUUUAAUUACCCAUUCUAAAGUAUUUUUAUUCUCUAUUCUUAAACCAUCAAAAUUUAAUUUAAAUCUUUCAUUAAUUGGAUAAAUCCAAUGAAUCUAACAAGUUAAAGGAUUAUGAAUCCGACAAAACAGUUGAUAAUAAAUUAAUAAUGCCAUUAAUAUGAUUUUAAUGUGAAACACAAUUAUCACAUUUAAUACAGUUAGUCCUUGUAUGAUUAAUGUUUUGGAAGCUAAAAUCAAUCUUUUGACUAUAAUAAGAGUUUCUACUAUUUCUAUUUUUGGAUGAUUUUAUAUUUUUCUUAUUGUUUUAGUUUAAUACAAAAAAUAAAAAUAAAAUUACAUUAGUAGAAUUUUUUUAACUUACUCAAAAACCUAUUUUAGUUGAAUGAUUUUUUUAAAAAAAAUAUAAAUAUUUUGUUAAAAGGGAUAAAAUAACCUUACCUUGUGAAAAAGACCUCUUCACCCAAGAUUACUUGUUCAUAAUCCUUUUAAGACGAAAAUGCCCCCUUCCUAAAAAAUAUUUCAUCUUAAACUUAUUUUUCUUUUUAUUGCCCUUUGUUCCAUCCUUCCGGCUUGGGAGAGAAAUUCAUUCUUCUUUUGCGAAGAAAAAUUCCUAUUGCGAUUUUUCAUUUCAAGUGGAAAAAAAAAUUCUUAUUUCAUUUUAAAGAAAUUGUACAUUUUCAAUCUUUCUCUUUGUUCCUAGUUGAGGGUUUUUUUUGUAAUUUUAUCUUAACACUACAAAUUUAAAGGUGAGAUUAAAUCUUAAUGGUUAUUAGUUAAAUCACAUAUCUAACUUUGUUUUUGUCAGGACCUAUAAUAUGAUUGGAACCACCAUCCAAACUUCAUUAGGUGGGAUACUCCCCACCCUCCCCCUCCCCCCGCGAAAUCCUUGGAUUUUAGUUUUGACUUGGAUUUCAAUUGCCCGUAUCAAUUUUUCUUUAUUUAUUAAUUUAUUAAUUUUCAACUUUAACAAAAGCCUUGAAUCAUAUUUAAAUUCAAAUAACUUAAUCCUAAUUAAGUUCUUUUUAAAUAAAAAUUAAUCAUUGAAAAGUUCAUGUGACUAUUAUAAUUGAGAAUUUAUCCCAAGUUGGGUUUUUUGCAAAUAAAAUUUUAUUAUAGGACAUCAUGAUGCAACAUAACAUAAGGUUGUUACUUAAGUUUGUUUUGACCUUGUAAUAUGUUAAAAUGAAAAUGAAGCCAUUGUAACAGGAGAGAAUGAUGAAGCUGUGGAGAGAGCUUAACAAAGCUUGGGUUGGAGAGACUUCACAGGAAGAGAGAGAGAGAAAUAAAGGGUAAAAUUAUCAAAAGAGAAAAGAAAAAAAAAAAAAAAAAAGAAGGUUAUGUCUUCAAAUAAUCAAUAAGAGAUGUCAUUUUUCUAAUUUUCAAAGUUCUUUUGGUCCUUCUCUACAAAUAUCCCUAUAAAAAUAUUAUAAUAUCAAGUUAAUUUGUCAAUACCAAAAUUUAUAUUUUAUAUUAGGGCGACUAAAUAACAUAUAGAAAGAAUUUUAAAUGAGUAAAUCAAAUCAAUUUUGAAACCAAAACUUAAUAAUUACCAAACUUGUAAUCUUAGUCAUUAAAAGUGUACGAUGAAAUCUAAAUUAUUAAGCAAUGAAACAAAAAAUUAAGAUUAAAAUACAAAACGUUAAAAUCAAGAUACAAACUAUUAAAAUGUAAGUGGGAUAUGAGAUGAUAUUAUAAAAAAUAGUGUGAUCCAACAAAAAGUCUAGUACAUCAUUAUCUUCACUUCCAACCAUGUUUAAAAGGUCACAAGUUCUAGCGGUUUCCAAGGACAAUGUUAAAAAUAAUAAAAAUAAAUCCAAUUAAAUAUUAAUUAAUUUAUUUGAAUUUGAGUCCGACAAAAUAGUUGGUAAUAAGUUAAUAAUGCCAUUAAUAUGAUUUUAAUGUGAAACACAAUUAUCACAUUUAAUACCCGUUAGUCCUUGUAUGAUUAACUUUUUAGAAAUUAAUAUCAAUCUUUUGAUUAUAAUAAGAGUUUCUACUAUUUAUAUUUUUGGAUGAUUUUAUAUUUUUCUUAUUGUUUUAGUUUAAUACAAAAAAAUAAAAAUAAAAUUACAUUAGUAGAAUUUUUUUUAACUUAUUCAAAAAACCUAUUGUAAGGUGAAUGGUUUUUUUAUUUUUUUUUUAAAUAUAAAUAUUUUCUUAAAAGGGAUAAAAUAACCUUACCUUGUGAAAAAAGGCCUCUUCACCCAAAUUUACUUGUGCAUAAUCCUUUUCAGACGAAAAUGCCCCCUUCCUAAAAAAUAUUUCAUCUUAAACUUAUUUUUCAUUUUUAUAACCCUUUGUUCCAUCCUUAUGAUUUGGGAGAGGAAGUCAUUCUUCUCUUGUGAAGAAAAAAUUCCUACUGCCAUUUUUCAUUUCAAGUGAAGAAAAAUAUUUAUAUUUCAUUUUAAACAAAUUGUACAUUUUCAAUCUCUCUUUGUUCCUAGUUGAGGUUUUUUUUUUUUUUUUUUUUUUUUGUAAUUUUAUCUUAAUUGUACAAAUUCGAAGAUGAGAUUAAAUCUAUAAUGGUUAUUGGUUAAAUCACUUAUCUAACUUUGUUCUUGACAGAUCGUAUAAUAUGAUUGGAACCACCAUCCUAACUUUAUUAGGUGGGAUCCCUUUUUUUUUUUCCCCAAACCCUUGGAUUUUAGUUUUGACUUAUAUUUCAAUUGUCUGUAUCACUUUUUCUUUAUUUAUUAAUUUUCAACAAGUUCUUUAACAAAAGCCUUGAAUCAUAUUUAAAUUCAAAUAACUUAAUCCCCAUUAAGUUCUUUUUAAAUGAAACUUAAUCAUGUGAAAGUUCAUGUGACUAUUAUAAUUGAGAAUUUAUUCUUAGUUGGGUUUUUUGUAAAUAAAAUUUAGUUAUAGGACUGUGAUGAUCCGUUCUCAACCGUAUAAAUAUUGUUCGUUUUGAAUUCAAAAUAACUUUUACGGCUUUAAAACAUGUUUACAAGAUUAAGAGGAGUCCAUAUUUAUAUAGCUUCACGAACUUUCCCCCCUAUUCGAUGUGGGAUGUCACAAGGACAUCAUGAUGCAACGUAUAACAUAAGAUUGUUUCUUAAGUUUGUCUAACCUUGUAAUGUGUUAAAAUGAAGAUGAAGCCAUUAUAACAGAAGAGAAUGAUGAAGUUGUAGAGAGAGCUUAACAAAGCUUGGGUUGGAGAGACUUCAUAGGAAGAGAGAGAGAGAGAGAGAGAGAAAUAAAGGGUAAAAUUAUCAAAAAAGAAAAAAGAAAAAAAAGAGGGUGAUGUCUCCAAAUAAUCAAUAAGAGAUGUCAUUUUUCUAAUUUCAAAGUUCUUCUGGCCCUUCUCUACAAAUAUCCCUAUAAAAACAUUAUAAUAUCAAGUUAAUUUGUUGAUACCAAAAUUUAUAUAUUAUAUUAGGAUGACUAAAUAACAUAUAGAAAGAAUUUUAAAUGAGUAAAUCAAAUCAAUUUUGAAAUCAAAACUUAAUACCUACCAAACUUGUAAUCUUAGUCAUUUAAAGUGUUCCAUGAAAUCUAAAUUAUUAAGCAGUGAAACAAAAAAUAUAAGAUUAAAAUACAAAACGUUGAAAUCAAGAUUCAAACUAUUAAAACGUAAGUGGAGACGUAAGAUGAUGUCAUAAAAAAUAGUGGGAUCCAACAAAAAGUCUAUUAAUCAUUAUCUUCACUUCCAAUCAUGUUUAAAAGGUCACAAGUUCUAGCGGCUUUCAAGGACGAUGUUAAAAAUAAUAAAAAUAAAUCCAAUUAAAUAUUAAUUAAUUUAUUUGAACAAUAGAUAGGACCAAAAUAAUAUUCUAAAAGGAAUCAUAGGGAAGUCCUUGGACAACCUACGACAUUGAACAAAGGUACAGUGAGACAAUGCACUUAGCCCUUCCUUGUCAUUGCGAUGAAUAUAAAAAGACACCCUGAUUGAGGGUGCCCCACUAAGCCAAGAGUGAUUCUUUUGUAUUGUAUAACGUGAAUAUUUUUGAACUUUGAAUGACCCUUCCUAUAGUCAUCAUUGUCAAAACUAGAAAAUCAGAAAGAUGCGAUGUACGAAGGCACCAUUGAAUAAGAGGCUUAAUUCUCUUUGGCAAUUAGGAUAAAGUUUCAAAAUAGAAAAAUUAAACAAAUGUACAGUGUACGGACACUUGGGCAUUGCCUAUUUGUUUUGUUCUUCUAGAGUUGUAUAUGGUAAAGGUCAUAUUGGGUUGGUUCUAUUUGGUUAUUGAAGUCGGCUAGAAUAUUAGAUUUGGUUUCAAUCUAAUCCCAUAUGAUAUUAGAAUACCAGCCCAUACAGAAUUUUUGACCAAAUAUAAUAUUUCUUUUAAAUAUAAAUAUAGUAAUUAAUUUUAGUCUAAGAUUAAUUAUGUAGUUUCCUAAAGAGACCACUUCCUAAACGGUAGCUAUGUGGAAGUUGGGCCAGGUCCUGCCGAGAAGGUUUCCACGAGCUGAGCCCAAAACUGAGUAGCUGUGAUGGGAUCAUUCUAGCAUUCAGCCUGAAACUUGUAACAUAACGGAUCGAGAGGCCUGAACUCCAAGACCAUGGUUCGUCAGCCCAUUAACUUCAACAGCACGCAUUUUAGAGGACUGGGCUUGCAAGGGGUGAGGUUUCCGGGCCGCGACCCCAAAUAUGAACAGCCUCAGAAGUGAUAUUGCUUACUGGCACGUGAAGAGCGCAAGCGUAACUAGAAGAUUUGUAAUGCCGCUUUAAUUGUUUGAUUAUAGAAUCCCACGCAUUACGCAUGGAAAGUGUAAAAGAUAAAAGAUGUAGAAUUUUUUCUUAGAGAAAAGUUCGUUUGGAUAUAGUUAUUGUUUUUUUUUUAAAUAAUAAUUGUUUUUUUUAUAAAUUAUAGAUAAUCUUAGAAAUUUAUCUUUAAAAAAAUAGUUUUUAAAAAUAUUUAAGGAGAAUAAAAGUGAUAAAAAAAAACUUUACAAUUUCAAAUUUUUAAAAAAUGAAAAUUAUUUUUAAGAAUAUAAGUUAAUCUCCUGCAUUUAAAUCUUAGGUGGUUUUUGUUUUUUUUACUUUUCGCUGAAAACAAUUUGUUUUCAAAAUUUAGGUCAUUUGUUUUUUCUAUUUUUUCAUGAUUUAUUAUAAAUUUUUUACUAAAUAAAAAAAAUCAAAAUAUGUAACUUUUUCUAAAUAAAAAAAAUAACGUAUUGAUUUUUCUUUACUUUUUAAUACUUAAUAGAUAUAAAAUACUACAAAAACAAAAAAUCUAAUAUUUAACACUAUUAAGCAUUAAAGUUCUAUUUAGAAUUAAGUAAAAAAACAAACACCACCUUAUAUUUUAUAUAAAAGUUACUUAUAUUUUGGUUUUUGGAAAUAAAAAAUAUAAAGCAUAUCCAAACAUGAGCUUAGCUAUUUUAAAUCAUAUCAAAAUAAUAAUCCCAAUAAGGUAAAUGGACUUUUAUACGGAGAAUAAUCUUUAAGGUUUUCAUUUUUAUUGGAUUUUUUUUUUGUGGUGUUUUUUCAAUCCAUCUUCUCAAUUAAUUCCUUAAAAUUAUUUUACUGUUUUUUUUUUUUUCAGUUUCUAAAUAUUUGAUUUUUCCAAAAUGCUUAAAUGGAAGACACUAAUUUUUCAAGAUAUUUGGUAUUACAAUUUUCCCUGUUCUCCCUAUUAUCUAUCAGAUUCAUGGCCCUUUUGUUUUUUCAUUGGUUUUCAAUUUAAUUUUCCAAAUAUUACAUUGUUGUGUUUUGAAUUUGUGAAACCAAUUUUAUAUAUAUAUAUAGUAUGUAAGUCUACUUUGGGUAACAUGUACAGAGAGGUUUUCAUGUGUUUGAAACCUUUUACCUCAAAAAUUAAUUAUUUUUAAUUUUAUAAUAAAUCUUUUUUUAUUUUUUAUUUUAUUUAGGAAAGCCUAUAUUUAAACUACAUGUUUGCAACGCAACACCAUACAUACUCCUAGUGGAACUUACCUUAGUGCUUGAGGGGGAUGCAGAUCUUCUUCUAAACCUAACUAAUAAGCAUAAAAUUGUUCACUAAUUAGCAUAUCUAGUAAAUCAUACAAAUUGGCAAUAUUUCAUGUUUUUCAUGUUUUGUCAAUAAAAGGCGUCUUGACCAUUUUGUGAGUUUUGUAAUAAAUAAAAAAAAAAAAAAAAAAAGGGCAAAAGGUGACUAAAAUGAGGCACUUUGGAAAGGUUAAUAACCUAAAAGGAAGAUGAAUUAAUACCCCCUUAUUCCUCUUCAAAAACCAUUGAGAAAAUGCAAGAAAUGCUCUUAGUUGUAUGCUAGGCUAACAGCCUAGCAACCAUAAUACCCUUCUUUGCAAUUGUAAGCAUUUUUUUUUUUUUUUUGAAGGCCAAACAACGUUGCAAACUUCCCAAAUCCCUUCUUUAUUUUUUAUUUUUUUAUUUUUGUUUUUAGAAGGAGAAUGAAUUUGAUGACAAACUCCUUGUCAAUCUUAUCCAAACCACGAUCGAACAGAACUCCUUGUCAAUCUUAUCCAAACCGUGUUCCACCUCAAAAACAUGUGUAGGACUUAAGGCAGCAACUGGCAAGCAUGACUGAUAGGGCCAAGUGCCCUUGUCUCUACAAUCCAUUAAGUUAACCAAGGGCAGUGAACCAUCAUUCUUUUCAAAAGCUUCAUUCCGUGUUGAAAAUGUGAGACUGAAGCAUGGUGCCCCCAAAAAUAACGAUCUAUUUACUAGCAGCAUGCCUGGACCCAUUAAAAAUACUCUACUUUAGGAAUAGAAAAAAUUACAUCUUUAUCCAAUAAUUUUAUAACAAUUCAGACGUUUCAGUCUAUAAAUAAUUGUACAUAGUUGCCAACGUUUAGCUAGUUUCAAAUGAAUAGCCUAGGUUCAUGCACCAGUUUGGCUGGUGGAGGAAAGGGAUUCGAGACAUUGAACCCUCUUUUUAGUGUGCCAAAUAUUCCACAAAAAUCACUACCUUCUCUUUGUGUUUGUUCACUUUUAGUUUAUAUUUAAUAAAUCUAUGUUUUCGAGUAGAGGUUGGGUUCAGGUGCGACCCACGUCACCUCUCGGACGGUCUUGAAAAAGGAGACCGGACCACGUAAUUUCAAAUGUAGUGACCAUCUCACUUUUACCUCCAUCCUUGAAGAUGGUUUCCCAAAUCAAUAUUAAUCUUUUGUUUACGACAAUAUCGAUCACUUUAUGUCUAUAUCGUUGUUAAUUUACCUUUUUUUUUUAGCCACAUUAUUUGAAAAUUGAUGCAAACUUUACCAACAUCUUGGUACCAUUUUAAAAUAUUAGAGUUAUUUGAUUAAAAAAAUAAAAUAAUCUCGAUAACUUGUUUAUAAAAUAAAUAUCUUUUAACAUUUAGACUAUUCUCACGCAUGCUUUAAAAUUGUAAAGAUAUUCAUAAAGUGGAACUUUAGACUUAAUCAAUAUCGAUCACUUUAUGUCUCUAUUGUUGUUAUAUUUUUUUUUUACAACAUUAUUUGAAAAUUGAUGCAAACUUUACCAACAUCCUAAUACCAUUUUAAAAUAUUAGAGUUAUUUGAUUAAAAAAAUAAAAUAAUCCCGACAACUUGUUUAUAAAAUAAAUAUCUUUUAAUAUUUAGACUAUUUUCACCAUGCUUUAAAAUCAUAAAGAUAUUUAUAUUCAUAAAGUGGAACUUUAGACUUAAACAUGAUAAUAGUUUUUUUACAAUAUUAUAAUUAUUUUAUCGUUUUAAUUAAGCCCUUUAUCAUACAUAUAAAUGUAAAUUAAUGCUAAAUUUUUAAAGCAACGUAUAACCUUUUACAUCUUUUUUUAAGAUGGUGCGAAAAUCCUAUGAAAAAUAAUAAAAGUCGAUGCAUAAGAAGAUUGUUUUGAUAAUUCAAUAGAAAAAUUCUUUUAAAAUGAUAUUAAAAAAUACCCAUAGAGCCUUUAUUAAAAAAAUCAAUUAUUUUCAUAAUAAAAAUUAUAAUUUUUUAUUAUGUAUUAUUAUUUUUAAGUAUCUUUAUUACAAAUACUUUUUUUGAGUUUAUGAGAGGAAUCAACAGGUUGGUACAAGCUUAGGCGUCCUCGUACAUGUUCCCGCUGUGCAAGGUUUUUGUCUUGUUUCGAGCUAGUCGGAAUUUACGUGUUUGAUAACGUUUUGUCCUAUUUUUGUAACGCUUUAAAGGGCGGCCCACCGUUGGAACAGUUCAAGCCAUCCAAAUCAGCCCGGAGGGUUAUGGCGACGUGGCAUGACGCCUACCACCUUAGUUCACAUGAACCCUAUGAUCGUACUACCCUCACAUGACAUCUGUGAUUCUUCACCUCCAAACCCUCUUUAACUUGGUAAUGUAUUCAAAGCUUCAUCAAAUCAUAGCGAUUAGCGACCCUCUUCCACCCUAAUUUUAUAAUAAAAAAUAAAUCUUAGUGGACAUUAAAGUAGUAUUUUGUGGGGGGAAAGAAAAACUCUAUGGGCGUAUCCACUAAAUACGAGCCAAGUAUAAGAGUUAUCACCAUGGAAUCAAAUUAUGAAGCAUUGACAUUUUAAUUGUAUUCAGAUUUGAGGAGGGCACCGCGGCACCAGCUGGCCCAGUGUAGUCUGCUAGCCUACCCGCCAUAAUGACCAAAUUAAUAAAGUAAAAAGGAUUACAGGGAUAUUCCCAACUUUAUUCUGGGUCUGAGCUGGAACUUGGGAGUUAUCACGAUCAACGGGAAAGAUGGUGGGUAGGGGACGAGGAUUGAGGGCUCCAUAUUCACAUCAGUGAAAAACGAAAUGUAUUGAGACAAGUCUUCUAAGGAUUUUCUAGCGUAUUAUAUGGUUUAAAUGAUUAUAAAUCUGUAGUUACUGGUAAAGAGUAGAGAGUGAAGACGAAAGACGUUGAGUGAAAAGGAAGGAGGAGAGGGGAUGGGGCCAUCUUACCGUGUCGGGGAGGAUCCAUAAAAGGACUACGUUCCCUGAAUCUGUAGGCAUCAUGCCUCGCCUAACGGGUUAGUCAAAAUACAGUGAUGUGUGUGAGUUGGGGGCCUCACUCCUCAUUUCUUUCCUUCUUUUCACCCCCACCCCCACUUUUUUUUUUUUUUUUUCGAAUUUUUCUUUGUCCUUUUCUCUCACUUGCGCACGCGGGAGAAGGACCACAAACUAGACAAUUCCUCUGCUCACGUGACCCCGAGUUUUUAAAUAUUUGCCUAUUUGGAAAAUAGUCAUGAAUCAUGAUCGUUAACAAACAAUCUUCACUUUAUUUAUUUAAGAUCUAUUUUUUGGAGCUCUAGUUUAGUUUAUUAUUAUUAUUAUUAUUAUUAUUAUUAUUAUUAUUAUUAUUUAGUAACUCCUCUUAUAUUAAUGAAAAAGAGAGGAGGAAUCCAAACUUGUUUAUUCUUCCUCUUUUAAGGUGUUUGUUUUUUUUAUUUUAUUUUUAUGCUUCAUAUGUCUUCAAUUUCUUAGCAUUUGUCUUAUAUUUCUUCUUAUCCGAUUCAUUAUUGCAUCCUUGGUCAAUCUUUCACGAGGAGUGCCUACUUUUUUCCUUUUUAUUAUUUAAUUCACUUUAUCUUUAUAUUUUCCUUUUACACUUUAUUUCCAAUUCAAAACGUGUCAAAAAAAAAAAUUGGUAACAAAAAAAAAAAAAAAAAUCAAUUGUAAUGAUUCUUAUAUAAUUUUAUUUAAUUUUUAUUAAACAAUAAAGAAAUUAAAAAUAUAUAAAUUUUUAAAUAAUUAUUAUAGUCUUUCAUUUUUGUGUAUAAUUUCUUUUGCAAGAAAUAGUGUAGGCUUUCCACGGUCUAAAGGAAAUGGAAUAUCAAAUGAGAAGGUAAUAAUAAUAAAGUGAGUUAUAGAUACUAAUCAAACUAAUCCACUAAUGAAUUAUUUAUUUUUAUUUCACAUGGACAAAUCCUAAAAGUUGGAGUUCUAAUUUACUUUUAUGUUAAGCUUUUUUAAGUAAAAAUCUUUUAUUAUUAUAAUUUAUAGACAAAAAGAAACCCAUUAAUGUGAUGGAUAAAAAAUUUCAAUUUAAAAAAAAAAAAAUUAAAGUUGCUAAAUUUUUGUAUUUAUUAUUUCAAACUCAUUUAAAUAAUUUAAAAAUAUGUCUUCAAUUAAUUUUAAUGAAACAAAGCAUGAUUUUUUUUUAAUUUUUUUUUCUUUACCAAAUAAAGCAUUAUUAUAAUACGUUGAUUAAAUUUUCAUCAUGUCUCUCAAGAUUUGGAUUAAAUAUACUUAGUUGUCAUAAAUUUGAAAUUUUAUUUAAUGUAUUUUUUAUUUUAAAUUAAAAAGAUGAAUGCAAAUAAAAAAAAUAUGUAUAUUUUAUAAAAUUUUAAAUUAAACGAAGGAUACGUGUAUUUAACCAAGGUGAAUGAAAUUAAUCCAAAUACUUUUUGGUAACUUGCAAAAUAUCUUGACGAAAUCAUUAUGGCAGGCAUCGUACAAGCUCAACCCUUGUCGCCUUGCUAGAAAUAGAGAAACAAAAAGACCCCCAAAUUGGGUUGCAUCCUAAAUAUGAAGAAGUGGUAACAAAGGAAGAAAAAAUGCUGUGUUAUUGAAUAGUUAAUACAUUGAACAUGAUAUGUUACAUAGAGAGCCAGAUUAAUCCUAGUGGAAUUCCACUGUCACGAUGGUAACCUAGGGUUAUGUUUGGUUAUUGAAAAUACCAAGAAAAGAAAAAAAAAUAUAAAGGAAAAUAAUUUUUUCAUUUUUGAUUGUCUUAUAAAAGAUAUAAAAAAAAAACAAAUAUAAUUAAAACUAAUUAAAAAUUUAGGUAUUUUUAAAUUAUUUAAUUUUUAUAUUAAUGAGCGAAAAUAAAUAAAAUAAGUUUAAAAUAACAAAAAAAAUAAUUUACCGAUUUUUAAUCUAUAUUUUAUUUUACUUUUUCUUUGUAUUUUUUUUUUCUUAUAUUUUCCCUCAAAUUUUCUGAAUCAAACAUAGCAAAAAAGGAGCUACCCCUUUCGAAAGAAACUCCCAAGAAUUUCAAAGAAACCUGCUGAGAUAAUGAAUGAGGGAUCACUGUCGGUAAACAGUAUCCAUUCUUUUGGGAGGACUUUCAAACUGAGAAGUUGUUUUCAUGACUUGGAAACAAAAUUUUGAGCUCUAAGGGGGUCUGUAUUUGGGCCCUAAAAUUCAAUCCAUCAAUCUGAAAAAUGCUUAGGAUAAUGAUUUGAUUUAGCCACAAUCACUAAACAAAUUCCAGAGGAAAAUUUCGCUACUCAUAGGUGGCUGAUUCUCAUAAAAAGACAUCGUGGUAGGGUGUCUCAAGUGCAGGCUCACCAUCAACUUGCUGCCCUUUUUAGAUUAUUGUAAAAUGAUUUCACAUGAAGCCCAAUGCAAAACUUUGAAAGAAAAGGUUGGUGGAGACGUGAAGAAUAUGUAACCCAUAGGCCAUAACUAGUACCGAAGAUUAUUGAACAAACAUUCAAGGUUUUUGUAUAGACGAAACUGAAAAGAAUGUGUACCAGACUCAGGCGUUCAGAUCAGAUGAUGCCGUAAUGUGGAUUGUGGAGGAGCAUUGUGCAGACAGAUAAUGAGAUUCUGAAAGCGAGGCCACUGAUGGGCCCUUGGAAGGGGGGCGUGCCUUCAAAAUUAUAUAUAUAUAUAUAUAUAUGUCAUUGAAAAUUGGAAGCAACUUUUCUUCUUAAGUUAUUUUAAUCGAAGAAGAAACAAAAAGUUAAAAACAUACAUUAUUCUUCCUUCUUACGAGGUUUCCGGGUCUAAAUUACUAUGGUCUCUGCAACUGGCGUCGUUUUCUCUCCCCUCUCUCUAUUUUCCCUUUAUUUUUUCACUUUUAGAAAGAAGCAUCCCAUCAAGAAUCUACUACAACCCUACGCUUCCAUUUUGAUUUAGAAAGUUAAAAAUAAGUUUAAGUUAAAAAAAAAUAUUUUCUUAUAUAAUUAUUUAAACUUAUUUCUUUUCCUUUUUAUAUAAAGAAACAAAUAUUUUGCAAAUAAAUAAAUUUCUAAUUAUUUUCAUUAACAUAAUAAUAAUAUUUUUCAUAUGACUUUAAUCACAAUUUUUUUUACCACUUGUCCAAGGCGGUGAGAGGUGAUAAAAUGUAUUAAAAAAACGAUUAAAUUGCAUUAGGUAUAGAAGUUUUGUGCUUCAAUUAUCACUUAUAAAAAUAAAAUAAAAAUAGUCAAAUUUGAGUGUGCAAGUUGGUAUUCGUAUGUAGAAGGAAUUGGGGGAUUUGGGGGUCCUAACAAAUUUGAUAUGAUUGAUGGAAGGAAAUGAUUAUUAUAGGAUAAAGUCCGAAUGAAACGCUGACGAGGGGGGAAAAACAACAGUGGCAAUGCACUAUCCACAGAUCCAUGAUUGAUUUAUGUUAGCAAUAAUGAAUUAUUUUGACUUUGAUAACCUUGGUUAAGAGAAUUUGGUCUUGUUAUUAUCAUUUUUUCAAAAAAAAAAAGUGUAGGUAACUAGGUAGUUGAUUUAUUAGAAUUUAGAAAUGAGGAUCCCCUCCUCCUGCAAGAGCCGUGACAGACAUGCCUGCUUUCUUGCCAGAUUAUACCAAUGUGCCCAAAUAAUCCCCCAUCUAUCAUCUCUGCACCCUGGAACACGUCACUCCCUCCUUUGAGCAAUAAAAUAUCUCUUUUAUUUUCUUUUGAACCACUCUUCUAUUUCUUUGUACCAGACUGGACCCAUUUAAAUUCUUCGCUACGCUGUUCCCAAGGACUACGAGAAUCAAAAUAGCAAAAUUCUUGAAUCAUUUUAAUGGGUUCAGAAACCACAUGUUUCUCUAGAUCAUAAGAGGAAAAUCUUUUUGGAUGGUGUUUGUGUUGUGUUGUGUUCAAUAUUAAAUACUCAAUUAAAUAAGCUAAAUCAAAUAUCACAUGAAAAAUAAUCAAAUUAAAAAUAGGGAGAAUUAUGUUUUGAGGGUAGAUGGACCCCAAAUUAACAAAAGGUUCAUGUAACUCUUCAAAUUGAGCCCAGACCCAAUGAAAAUAUGGAAAUUGAGUUGAAGUAUAUCAUCAUUCAGUAUUUCCAAAAAUGUCCUUUGUUGAUUUUGAGAAAAAAAUUAAUAUUUUUGAAAAAUAUUUUUAUGUAAUUUAAUAUUUUUUUAAAUACUUUUAUUUAAUUUAAUAUUUUUAAAAAAUAAAUUUAUUUAAUUUAAUAUUUUAAAAAAUAUUUAAUUUAAUAUAUUUUUUAAAUACUUUAAUUUAAUUUAAUAUUUUUGAAAAAAAUUUUAAUUUAAUAUUUUUGAAAAAAAAAUUAUUUAAUUUAAUAUUUUUUAAAACUAUUUUUAUUUAAUUUAGUAUUUUUGAAAAAAAAUUAUUUAACUUAAUUUUAUAAAAUAUUUUAUAUGUGUUCUUAAAGGGUAUAUUUGUCCGUUACUAUUUCAUAUCCUUCAACUCAAUUUAAAGAGUUAUAUGGACCUUUUGUUAAUUUGGGGACCCAUCUACCCUCAAAAGAUAAUUCUCCCUUAAAAAUAUAAAUUUAAAUAUGACAUAAUUAUUAAAUAUGUUAGAUCUUGUAUGAGUUUAUAAGAUUUAUGUUUCAAAAUAACAUGUUUAUAAUUCAUCUAUUGAUUUAUAAUCAAAUUUUAAAUAAAUUAAAGUUAUUCAAGUUAAUAAAUAUGAUUUAUGUUAUAAAGACUAACUAAAAAAUAAUUUAUUAAUUAAACGGAUCCUGGUCAAUAAAAAUUUGAUUUAAAUACGAUCAUACUUAAUCAAAACUUAGGUCAAAUUGUAUUGAUAAAUUACAUCAAAACCUUGUUGUGUUCAAUAUUUUAUAUUAAACUAUUUUUUAAUAAAAUUAUUUUUAUAAAUAUAAUAUUACAUCAUUUGGAGAAACAAAAUAGUAUUAUAUUGAUUUUACAUAUAAAGCAACCAGUUAACCCCUCAUUAUUUUGAUCCAUUUCACAUCCAUAUCAUUCUCAUAAUUUUUUUAUAAUAUAUUAACAUGAUGGACGGUAAUUGAGGGUAGAAAAAAAAGAUGAGAAGAAUAAAAUAAUGUGAAUCCUCUCUAAAUGUUACAUCUUCUGACAAAUGAAGUCUAUAGAAAUGUGUAAAAAAAAAAAAAACACUUAAUUGUGAGGUUCACUUGAUUUAGCAAAAAAUUAAUAUUUUAUUUGUUGUGUGAUUUAAAAAUAAUAUUUUAUUUUUAAAAAUAAAAAAUUAUUUUUAAAGUUUUUUAACACUAUUUUACUAUUGUUCUUUGAAAUAAUUUUUAAAAUUAAAAUGAAAUAACUAAUAAUUUUUAGAUAAUAAAUUAAAGUUGUUUUUAUUAGAUUUUAAAAAUAAAAGAAAAAUAUAAAACCAUUUGAUCAAAUUUUUUUAAACUUAUUUUUAAAAGGUUUUUUUUUUUUUUUUUUUUUUUCUAUCCUAAGUUAAAAGAUAAAAAAUAAUUUUUAAAGAUAGGUUACGAGCAAAUGCCACAAACUUUUUUCUUCUCUUUCCCUUGUUCGGAUAGAAGUGAAAAAUAUCCUCCCAUGGAUCGACAUUACGUGAGCCAUCACCAUUCCCCAACUGCAAUUCAACCGCCAAAGCUGAGGUGUCAUUAUUAGUUUGAACAAAAGUCAGCAUUGUCCACGUGGUGACAAGCGGAACUGACCCAACUUGCAAGGCAAAAAAAUAAAUAAAAUAAAAUGAAAAAAUCAGAUCACCAUUAUGACGUCAGUCCAAUUGCUGACCUGGCCGCCGUCCCCCAUUUGACCCACGUGUUCAUUUAACCCAUUCGCCGUAUGCCGUGGCUCCCCACCCAUAUGGCCAUAUCUGCCAUUUAUUUUAUCCGUUGCCUCCAUUCGGUUUUUGGAUUUUACCCAUUCGCCCUCGUCUAUUCCCAUUUCCGUAUUUGCCCACCAAGGAAAUUCAAUUCCCAUGCUUUUGUUUUACAUUCAAAUCCUCCCCCCUCUAUAUAAAGGAGGGAGUAGGGCUUGAAAGUUUCUCAAGCCAACAUGGACUGUUGAGAGUGAAAGACAGAGGAGCCACAAACAAAUAUCACUCACUCAAACCAAAGCCAAAACCAAUACCGAAUUCAAUUCAAAUGACUUCUUUCUCUCUCAUCAAUUCCCUGAAUUCCGAUUCCGAUUUCAAUUUGUUAUCGGAUUCUUUUUCCUGGGAAAACUCCCUACCUUUCAAUGAAAACGACUCCCAGGAGAUGCUCCUCCUGGGCAUGCUGGCCAGCUCCACUCAGGAAACCUCAGAAACAGUUUCUUUGAAUCGAGUGAAGGAGGAAGAAGUGACUUCCCAGGAAAAUCCCGAGAAGGAGAAGUCAUACAGAGGCGUUAGGAGGCGGCCAUGGGGGAAAUUCGCAGCAGAAAUAAGGGACUCGACCAGGCAUGGCAUAAGGGUGUGGCUGGGAACAUUUGACAGUGCAGAGGCAGCUGCUCUGGCCUAUGAUCAAGCUGCUUUUGCGAUGCGGGGCCCUGCGGCAGUCCUCAAUUUCCCGGUGGAAAGAGUGAAGGAAUCGAUGCAGGAGAUCAAGUGCAUCUUGGAGGAGGGGGGCUCACCAGUGGUGGCCCUCAAGAAGAGGCACUCUAUGCGGAGAAAAAGUCCUUGCAAGAAACAUAAAAGUGAAGAGGUGAGGUUAGAAAAUGUGGUAGUGCUGGAGGAUUUGGGUACUGAAUACUUGGAACAGCUCCUCACUUUCUCUGAGACCUCUAGUCCUUGAUCAUCAUCAUCCAUCACCUGGAUAGCUUCUUCUCUUUGCUCUGUUUCUUACUUUUCUCUCUCUCUCUCUCUCUCUCUCUCUUUUUUUUUUAUGUAAUUUUUCUUAAUGUAUUUUUGGAGAUGGCGGGGGUGUAGUGGUGGCAAUUAUCCAUCUAGAAUUUUUCAAAAGAUAUGUUCUUUUGUUUCUUUGUAUAAAGUUGAAAAGUGGGGAUCAAUUGUGAUGGUGCUCUAUGUUCAUCCACCCAAUUUAUAUAAUCAAGGUGAUUAAUGUUUUUUGAUAUCAACAAUUUGUGAAUGACAUAGAGAGAGAGAGAGAGAGAGACCUUAUUUUCUACACUCAUUACGGUGGUUUCCAUUUGGGGAAGGAAAAGGAAAUGGCUAAGAAUGUUACCAAAAGAAGUGGGGUGGCUUUCAUAUGCGUGGUGGCAUACUUGCAUACAAACUUUUCAAUUGUGUUCUGCAUGCCACUCGGGUCAAUUUCAUUUCUUUUACUCCUAGUAGCCUAAUUGGAUUUCCUUUUUCUCAUGAGACAUCAAAUAAAUUUCAUUUUUUUAUAUUUAAAUAGUUAGGUAAGUUUGAUAGUGAGUUAUAUUUUAUACAUUAAUUCAUCUUUUAGAAUGUUGUCUACAAUAUAAACAGUGUAAUUAAUUUCAUCAUUACAGAACAGUCAUCUUAUAAAAUAACAUAAAAAUUAUUGGAUCACUUGUAUGGCACCACUGAUUUGGACUUGGUAUGGCUCUGUUUGGCUUCAUAGAAAAAAUUUGGACCCAAUUUGAAUGUCUUGCAUAAAAAGAGAUACGUCCCACUUUGAAUGAUAUUGAAGAAAAAAAUUUCUGAUGAAGAAUAUAUUGUUGGCAGGGUCAUGCAGGCCAAUAGGGAAACGAUAAAUUCAGAAGAAUGAGUCCAAACCAGUGGGCUUGAAAAUUAAGAAGAGAAUUGCUGUAUAAAACAAUCAUUUCUUAAUCGAGUUCACUUUCUGAAUAAUCGUCACUUUGAGAAUGCAUACUUAGGAAGAUGAUGAUCCUUAAUGGGAAUAAUCAAAGGCAUCAAAAAAUUGUUCUGGAACAAUUCUUGAUUGUCUCCAGUAAAAUUCAAAGUCAAAAGUCAAAAGUCCAGUCGGUCAACACCAAACCAGGCCAGUCCAAAAGACAUUAAUUUGCAAUCUAGAAUCUAUGAUGAGGUGGCGAAAUCAAACCUUGGCUUUUCACCAGGGAAUGGUACUCUGAAUUUGGUCAGUUCACUGUUUCGAGUGAAUAGGGUGUAGUAAUUAGUAAAUCAUAUUUUAGAUUUGUGUCACAAGUUACAAGGGAUAUGGGCUGACGUUCAAUUUUGGCGACAAUUUGUGGGCCCGUAUAUUUGUUGAGAUGUGGAAAUUGGGUGUGUGCUUUUUUCUGCUACCACAUAAAUAUAUUUCUUUGAAUUGAAGAGUGUUUCAGACCAUUUUUUUUCAAGUCACAAAUGGACAACUGAUUGAGAUUGUAUUGGUGAGAGUAGGAGUUUAUUUUGGGCUGGUUGAGCGAAGUUGAAAGUCGAGUUGGACCUAACCCUUGAAUUCAGCAGACUACAGUCCGAUCCUGUAUUUUGGAUUUAGGGAACCUUCUUUCCCAGAAGCUUCGUCUGGGUUUUAAAGUCUAAAUGUGGCUACUCUUAAACAUUGGAGAAAGGAUGAGCGUUCACAAGCAAAUGGGUAAUUGUGGAUGGUUCAAGGACCUGGCCAGCUGGUCUUCAAGUUUGGAUGCCGGUUUGGGCCUGAGAGAGUCUUUGCAAAGUGACUUCACUUCAGCCUAUGAGAUCAAGAUAUCAUGGUGAUGUCCGAUCACUUAGGUUUCAUUUUCACCUCGGAUUACCGUUACCAUGUUCAUGAAUAAAAAUAAAUAAAUAAAUGAAGCCUUAUAGAGAAAUUAAUGAAGUGAGCUAUACAAGCAACUGGGCCAGGAGCCUACAAGGCAGAAAUUCCCUGCCCUAGACUAGGCCGAAUAAAUUAGAUGAAUGAAUUGGGGAAACCUGGGCCAGCCACACAUCCUCCUGAAGGCUGAUGUCGAACUCGCUUACGAGGAAUGGACAUGGGAGAUUGGGCUGGGACCAAAUAACCAAUUGACAGCCCUAUCCUUGUGGCAAGACGUCAGUAAAAUGGUUCAUUCUGAUUUUACGCUGCCAUUCAAUUUAAUUUUAAUUUUUGUUUAAAGCGAUGUACAAAUUGAAUGGUGUCUAGUCACUUAAAGAGUGGUUCAUAAUACACUUAAUUUAAACAAAAAAGAAAUUAUUAGAUAGGGGAUUCUCCAAUAAAAACCACCCCAUCUUGUCAGCAAGUCCGGAAACUUCCUUCACUUAGGGCGUAUUUGUUUUUUUAACUUUAAUAUUAAAGAAAGUUGGUUAAACCUUAUGACACUUUUAUAUUAUUUUAUGAAUUUUUUUUAAUUUUUAUUUUAAUGGAAUUUUAACUUUAAUACAAGUUGGAGUAAUUCUUAUCUUAAAAACAAAUCAAAAUUACUUUAAUUUUAUAUAGAAAUAAACUUACAGUAAAUUUACCAUGAAAAUUUCUAAGUCAAAUACACCAUAAGUGCUAGUAUUUUAUAAUAUUUAGAAACAUGUUAAAUUAUUAUUAUUAUUUUUUAAAAUUAUUAGUUUUCAUAUUAGUUUUAGGGAAACUUGUGCUUUAGGUCUUUUAUUUGCAAAUAAUAUGGUUUUCAAAUCCUAAGAAUAGAAAAUAUGAGAAUCAACUGUUAAUGUGGAAAAUAAUAUCAAUUUUGUGCAAUCUCUAUUGACUCAUUUUUUUGUGCCUAGAUUGCCUUCACCCACUUCCAUGUCAACAACCACAUUAAUAGAUUGUUUUUUUUUUAUAAAACAAAUAAUUAUUAUGUUUAAAAUUUUGGGGAAACUCUCUAUCUCUCUUACUUCUUCACUACAUCCGAGACCCAUCUUCCUUAAACGUUUGCCUCUCAUUUUGCCCUAACCCCAAAUCUCAUAAAUUUCUCAUUUUCUUGCCUCAUUUGAAAUAUGAAGAUGACCGAUUCUCAAACAUCUCUGUCUCUCUCUUCACGUUUUGACCAGUCUAAUUGGAAACCCAUUUUCCAAAAACCUUCUUUCUUUCAUUUUGCCCUAACCCCACUAUCUCCCUCUUCAAGACCUAAUCACCCAAACUCGAUAUCUAUCUUCCCAAAACCUUCAAGCAAACUGAACUAGACCCAUAUCUUCUUUUUUCAUCAUCAAAGGUGAAAUUUUUUUAAGGCUUUUGGAAACCGAAUUGGAGCUUUCCCUUCUUCUGGGAUUAAUCAUUCGCAAGUGAGUUUUCCAUUUAAGGCUUUGUUUGGCUGUUGAAAUCUUGGGAUCAAAGGUCUUUUAUUUUCAGGUUUCUUGUAUUUUGCUUUAUUUUCUUGUAUAUAACAAUAAUCAUUGUAACAUAUGCUAGUAGUUACCCUUGGUGCAACUUUACAUUUCCAAAUACCCUAAAGUCCAAAGCUUUUAAUUCCCUUUUCAAAGCUUUCAACUUUGAAAGCAGACUAAACCAUAAGAACUAUGAAACUUAUAUCUCUAUCACCACUAAUUAAGCAUGUCUAUGAAUCCUUCCACUUUAAGUCACUUAUUCUCAAACCAAGAAGGGCUCCUCUCAUUCUCACCCCACCUCAUCUAAAUGAGGGAAAUGAUCAAUUGCAGCCAUGCUUUGCACCAAAUUAGAGAAGUGAUCCUCCCAAUCAUCCAUUACCAAAAAUUGAUCAUGCUGAUGAGAUCAUAAGAGUCUAUUCGGAACUCCCAGUUUACUUGCCUCUUAUCUCAGGAUCCUCCAUUACCCCCUGUCUUUCCAACAUCAAAUCAACUUGCAAACAAUUCCUUUGUAGAUAAAAUGUUUUUAAUAUUGCAAAAGGGGACUUAUCAUAAUGGUUGAAUCGAUUUAUUUGAUAUAAUCACUCAAAUUCAAGCUUAAAAUUGAUCAUAAUAAAAUGUUUUUAAUAUUGUUAAAAGGAGAUUAUAAUGGUUUUAUUUGAUAUCAUUACUAAAAUUCAAGCUUUCAAACAUGCUCUACAAAGAAGUUCUAAAAGACUACAAGAAAGAGUUUCCACUAAAGAAAAACAAUGAAACCAUUUCUACUAAAGACAAACAAUGAAACCACAGAUGCUUUGUGAAAUAUGUACCCGCACAAUCCAACAAACUUUAGAAAUUCACAAACACUACCUAGAAUUUUUGCUGACCAGCAAAAAAUUUAUGCAAUUUAAUUCUUAUUGUUAUUAUUAUUUUCAAUGUGAACAAAUAUGAUUGAAUUAUGAAGUAUUUGGCCAGAAGAGGAUCUUGCCUAAUUAUAGUCAUUAAACAACCAUUUAUACCAUAGCCUCUAGACUUUAAAAAGUUUAUAAAACUCAAGGGCUUCCACCCAAUUUCUAGAUAUCUCCAUAACAUUCUUCUGACUAUUAGAAAGCAAUUACCACUUUAAUUUUUCAUUUCAUGAGUGUUCAAUUCAGAAAAAGACCAGGAUCGAACUUGCGAUCAUGCAGUCGAAAAUCCACCUGUGCAUGAAACUAUUGCCUCACGAUUGCAAACUCAAGUUGGAGUCCAGUAACAACUCUAGGUUUGCUGAUGUGCUCCAUUUGAAAUAAAGGAACUAAAGAAUACUUUAUAAAGAUUAAUUACCUUCAUAUUUUAGGUUGGGGUUAAGGCAAAAUGUGAUAGAUUGAGAGGAAGAAAAUAUAUCUUGUUCAGGAAGCCAAUAUUUUGGAGUUCACCUUUCCAUUCGAGUCCACUCUGCUAUAGCAAAAUCAGAGUCACAACUAUGCCUCUUUAAGCUAUCCUUUAAUUGGAUGAAUUGCAGAUUUGGUUGCUGAGAAAGUGGAUAAGAAAGAAAAAUGCAUACUGUAGCUUGAGAUUAAGAGUUUGUUUUCUAAAAUGAGAGAAAGGGAAAGAGAAAAAAUGCAUAUUGUAGCUUGAGAUUAAGGGUUUGUUUUCUAAAAUGAGAGAAAGGGGAAGAGAAAUGUUCGACAACUUUGAGAUGACAAAUUUUUAGAUUUGGAAAAUUUGAGAUGAGUCUCAGGUUUUUUUUUUUUUUUUUUUGUCUUUGUCUUUGUUUUUUUUUUUUUUUUUUGUUUUUUUCCCAAAAACAACCUGUUAAUGUGGUUGUUGACAUAGAAGUGGGUGAGGGCAAAAUGGGCAUAGAAAAAAGAGUCAACACAAAGUGCACAAAACCCAUAUUAUUUUCCACAUUAAUGACUGAUUCUCAUAUUUCUUGUUCUUGGGAUUUGAAAACCAUAUUAUUUGCAAAUGGACCUCCCAAAGCACAGGUUUCCCUUAGUUUUAUGUCUCCAUCUACAUUUUACAUAUAAAUAGAUUAUUUUAUAAAAUUUGUUUUGUAGAUAUAUUAGUUAAUAAUUAUAUAAUUAAUGAUAUAGAAAACAUAUAAAAAUCAUAUUUAAAAAAGAUAAUUACAUAUUCCUCAACAAUCCAUCCCAAGAAUUCGAGGUUGAGUUGAAAACAUGUAGAGUCUUUGAUGUUAUUAUAAUCAUAUCCAACACAUAUGAUUAUUGUUUAUGAGAUAUUAUUAGAAAGUUUGUCUUAAAAUAAUUGAUUUAUUACCCACCUUUAGCAAAUGCCCAUUUUUGCGUCUUUCAAAAUUUUCAUUUUUUUUUUGUUUAAAAGAAGUAUUGUAAAGAAUGAUGAAAUAAGAAAUUUGUUGAGAAAGUGUGAGUAAAUAAUUUUACAUAAAAAGAGAUUUAAUACUUGAUAAAUAAAAUAAUAAAAUCAUGAUUUCUAGUUGUAUAGGGCCGGGUGGAUGGAGUGGCUAAGAUGUAAUUCUUGAAAUAGAGGAGACAACAUCAAUGUAUAAAAGUUUAACAGAGAAGGAAAGUGUGUUUGAAUGACUUUAUUUUCUUCAUUUAAAGUUUUGACGAUGAGUGUUUAUACAAGAUAAAUUUUCAAAUGAUAGGACUCCUAUUUACAUGGAGUUUGUGAUAUACUAUGAUUAUACAAAUUUAAAAUUCAAACAGAUUCAUGAGUUGAUAGGAGUCUGCUCAAUACGCCCCUUCAAAAUGGUGGGAGAUAGCACACCAAUCUUGACUCGAAGGGCCUAAACUCGUGCAGAAGAUGAGGGCUUUGUUAGAGCAUCGACAAGUUGAUCCGUGGUUGACAUAUGGGACACCUUGAGCUCACCUGAUUAAACCUUGUUUCAAACAAAAUGAAAAUCAAUCGCCGAUGUGUUUCAUGGAGAGUGAAACAUGGGAUUUGCACAAAGAUAUGUUGCACCCACGUUAUCACAAGAGAUAGGAGGUGGUGAUAAAUUUGAAACACUAAGUUUUGAGAGAAGAGAAUUAACCCAAAGAACCUUUGAGGCUGUAGAGGCCACGACGUGAUAUUUCGCUUCAGUGGAAGAGCGUGCUAUGAACUUUUGUUUCCUCGAUGACCAAUACACAAGAUUGUGACCAAGAAAAACAAUGGGAGCAUUGGUGGAGGAUCUGACAUAAGGAUUCCUUGCCCAUUCAACAUUCGAAUAUGCAUGUAGAUUGAUGGGCGAUUUCUUAUGCAAGAACAGACCAUGCACCAUUGUGCCGACUAAGUAUCUAAGCAAUCUUUUAACACAAGACCAAUGUGUUGAUGUUGGAUGGUGCAUAAAUUGAGAUAAUUUAUUCAUCAAGAAGGUGAUGUCAGGGCUAGUAAGAGAGAAGUAUUGAAGGCUUCCAACAAUUGACAUAUAUUUAGUGGGACCAGGAAAAGAGGUGUCAUCACACAGAUUUGGAACAUUGUUGAGGAACAUCAAUGAUUGAACUGGUUUGGUAGCCACCAUUUGUGUUUUCUUAAGAAGCUCUCGAAUGUACUUGAGAUAAAAAUAAUCCUUUGGAAGUAUGUAUCAUUUCAACACCAAGAAUAAAAGAUGAAGUCCUGAGAUCCUUAAUGGAGAAUUUGACUGCUAAUUGAGAGAUCACGCGAGCACGAAAAACAUUAUUGUUACUUGUUAAAAUAAGAUCAUCAAUAUAAAUAAGUAGGUAAACAAUGAGACCACUCUUUUUAAAAAUGAAGAGGGAUGUCUCGGUUUAGGAGUUGACGAAGGCUAUUGAGAGGAGAAAUUGGCAAAGUUCAUGAUACCAUGAUCGUGGAGCUUGUUUAAAGCCAUAAAAAGCCUUACAAAGUUGGCAAAUGUGAUGAUGUGUGUAUUCGUGAACCCAGGAGGUUGAAUCAUGUAAACAUCUUCAUGAAGUGUCCUAUGCUAGAAUGCAUUAUUAAUGUCCAAUUCAUGAGUUGAUAGGAGUCUGCUCAAUACAAUGUGGGAGUGUGAUUUCAAAAUUAGGGUAAUUUCGAAAUGGAUUUUGUAUUCACAAGUUGAAUUUCAAAAUUAUUUUGAAAUGGUCUUUUAACUUUAAGCAGUUGUGUUCAAAAGGUCAUAACUUCUUCGUUUCAAUUUUGAUUUACACAUUGUUUAAAACAUUGGACUCUUUACUUCCCGAGCUUCAAAACGAUAUAUAGUAUGCUCAAAAAUGACAUCAGGAUUGGUUCAAAUUUCAUCUUGAUAUUAGAGUACAUGUUGUGAUUAGAUUUUGAGUUCCAAAUUUCCAUGUAAACUUGAUUGCAUUUGCUUCAAACCUCCUUCAUUAUGGUUGCUUGCCCUCUAUCUCACUUUGCAACAUUUGUUACUAGUAUUUUAUGUCCAUGACUUACUCAUUUCAACCUUUCUUGGAUUCUUCAUGGUUCACAAAUUAUGGAUUCUUCAUGGUUCACAAAUUGAGUCUUUCAAUUAUGCAUGUUUAACUCCUAUUUCCUUGGUUGAUAAUGACUUUUACACUUAUCAUUUUCUUUUAUUCUUUAAACCUGAAUUUAGACUUACAAAAAAAAGUUAGAUCCAUAACUAGGGUCUUAGCAUCAAUUUGAGUUAAGUUGGAUGAUUUGAAAAUUUUAUAUUACAUAAAUCAUAUCAUACAUGUGCCAUUGGAGUGCACAUUUUGGCUCUAAUCAUGUUCCAACCCAUUGUUUUACUCUUGCAUGAAGUAUGUGGCCAUUGAUUUUAAUUUUAUUUGCGAUUAGGUUCAAAAUGGUGCUUUUGUGUUGCUCAUGUGUCAUCAGAAGAUCAACUAAUGGAUUCUCUAACAAAACUACUACAUCAUAGUCAUUUUUUUUUUUCUUAAGACCAAGAUUGAGAUCUCCAAUCGGAGCCAACUCCAUCUUGGGGGCAUGUUAGUGAAAGAUAAAAUUUAUCUUUAAUUUAAAUAUUAAUAUUUAUCAGUUAUUAGUUUUAAUUAGAGUAAAAGAUAGAGUUUAAAUUGGAGUAGGAGAUAAACUUGUGUUUGAACUAGAAUAGAAGAUAAAGUAUAAAGAUUUAUGUUUGAAUUAGAAUAAAAUAUAAAGUUUGAAUUAGAGUAGAAGAUAAACUUGUUCUUUAUUUGUAUAUAAAUAUUCAUCAAUUCUUGAGAAGAAGAUUAUUUCAUAGUUUUUCUAUCUUCUUUUUUCUUCAUACAUAUCUGCAAGAAAUUGAAGAUUUCAAGUAAAAUAUUUUCUGUUUUAAAUAGUGAAAAAAGCUAGAAAUUCACUUUGUUAUCUCUUGGGGUAAAUUGACAAGGUUUAACGUUAAGAAGGUGAAUUAUUUUUUCAGAAAAACUGAAGUAGCUAGGAUAUCUGGCCAGUUGUGAUCGAUAAAAAAGUUGUAAAAUCUCUCAUAUACUAAACAGGUUUUGGAUGUUGGUAUGGUAAAUCCAUCUGCAGUCAUUCGUCAUCUCAUCUAGUGAGAUGUUUGGGAGGUGGUGACCGCCGGAUUGGGUUUCAUUUGGUUAAAUCUGUCAGUGGGUUGGCUACUACCCGAGCCUCUUGCUUUGGGGGAGGUGGGUUCUAGAUAUAAUGUUCAAACCAUUUUAGUUAUCAUAUGCAUGACAUGUAAGCAUAAUCUCUUUAUCACUUCUUCAAUGGGAGUUCAUGGUUAGGAAUUGACUUCUUUUCUUCUGGGAUGCUUGGCAUGUAAUGGACAAAGUUACUUUUAUAUCGAUCGAAUUUCUAGUAUUAUAGUGAAGACUUACCCUUUUGACAUUUUAUAUCGAAUUAUAGAAGAUGAAAGGGACAUACAUGCAAUCGACUGACGCUUUAGUGAAUAUGCUGAAAAUAUGCUGAUGCUGUGGAGAUCGUAUGAGGACAGAGGAAAAAGAUAGAAAUGGAUAUAUAAUUAGACCUAGGUUUUUAUUAAAUGAGAUGGGGAACAUAGAGUGAGGGAAAAUCAAAAUUUUUGGCUGCAGUUCACAUUGGUGAUAUUUUGGAUUGACAAAGACUAACGACUUUUCUAUUUUUCUUUUCGGCCUGACUGGAUAGUUGGACAUGGACAAUACAGAAUCCACAGAAGGAUUGUUGGGACCGCUGAAAAUUAGCUAGAAGAAGCUGAGGAAGUAGUCUACGUAGUCAAAUACCAAACACAAAGAAAGAAAGAAAUGGAUAUCAUGGAUGCCUAGAGUUAUACUCCUAAUACCGUCACAGGUAUUUUUCUUUCCUCCUUUUUUUUUCUACGAUAAUUAGAGCAUUUCUCCUCCUCCUCCUCCUCCUCCCCCCACCCCACCACCAAAAAAUAAAAAAAUAAAUUAUUGCAAGUAACACUUCAAAUAUUAAUUUAUACAUUCUAAAGUAUAUAUUCAUGAAAUAACUUGAGUAUCAUACAUUAGUUCUCAAAAAAAAAAAAAAAAAAAAAAAAAAAUUACUGGAAGAGAAAAGUUUAAGAAAACAUAAAAAUAUUCAACUACUAUUUUAAAGAGAAAAUUUAAUUUUUACACUAUAAAUUUGAAGAGAACUUUUACAUGCAUCUUAUAUAAACUACCAUUUUUUGCUAAAAGGCUUAAAUUUGUCAAAAAUACCCCUUAGGUGCUUAACGUUCUGGUCAUAAUAUAAUUGGCAUCUUUUCUCAAACAUAAGGCCUGUGUGUGGGAACAAGAUUUAAUGUUAAUGAGCUUCGCCACCGACAUUUAGUUCCAGAAAUCAUUAUUUUAAUAGAGUGGGCUCAAUUUACAACUUUAAUUAAACUCUAACCAACUGCAUUGUGAAAUGAAUAUGUUUCUUUCGUGGUGAAUCCAAUGAGUUGGGAGUCAAACUUUGCUUCAUUGUGUAUAGAUGAAAUGUUAAGACUCCAUGUAACCUCAAACAUUUCCGCAAUNNNNNNNNNNNNNNNNNNNNNNNNNNNNNNNNNNNNNNNNNNNNNNNNNNNNNNNNNNNNNNNNNNNNNNNNNNNNNNNNNNNNNNNNNNNNNNNNNNNNUUCUUUCGUGGUGAAUCCAAUGAGUUGGAGUCAAACUUGCUUCAUUGUGUAUAGAUGAAAUGUUAAGACUCCAUGUAACUCAAACAUUUCCGCAAUGAGCGGGAGUUCUAAAUUUAAUAAUUGAAAUUGUCAGUGGAACCAGUGGACAAGAGUUGGUUUGUGGUUGACAAACUUAUCCGUUUGAUCUUUACUUGAACAGUUCCAGUGUGUGGAUGGGUACUGAUGAAGUGUGCGCAUUUAUUUUGAGAAGCCUGCUUGUUCGCAUAGAUUUUAACGACAUGAACAUUGUGGUAAGGUUAGAGAGUAAUGCGAAUGUAGGAGCUUAUAUUAGAAAUGACACAAACACGUAAAUAGAAGUAAUCUAUAUAUGAUAUUACUCAUGGACUACAAGCAAAGAAGUACAAUACAUGGAGUAAGUGAUGAAAUGAGCAUUCCUCACUACUACUGCUUGACUGAUGGAACAUGAUGCACGAGAUAGCAUAAGUAGUAGUAGGAAGCAGCUCUUAUUUGUGGCGUCGGUAUACAUCAUACUAGGUAGAUGGUUCAAUUGGCAUGGAUGGGUGGUGGAGCCUUGAAGUGCUUGUGAUGGGGAGCCCACGGCUUCUUCUCAGGAGUUGGUGGCUUCUUGUAUGGAGUUGAUGGAGGUGUUUCUACUGGAGGGUGGCCAGGGUAGUGACCCUGGGGUGGUGAAGGUUCUUUUGUCGGUGGUGGCCUCACUAUUAUUGGCGGUAGAGUUGGUGGCUUGGGCGUUGGCGGUGGUCUCACUACUCUUGGGGGUAGAGUUGGUGUCUUGUGUUUUGGUGGUGGAGGUGGCUUAACAGGAGUUGGUGGCUUGUAUUCUGGGGGUGGUUUCUCCACCGGAGGUGGCUUAUAAACUGGAGUUGGUGGCUUGUAUUCUGGGGGUGGCUUCUCCACUGGUGGUGGCCUGUAAACAGGGGUUGGUGGCUUAUAUUCUGGGGGAGGCUUCUCCACUGGAGGCGACUUAUAAACAGGGGUUGGUGGCUUGUAUUCCGGGGGUGGCUUCUCUACGGGAGGUGGCCUGUAAACAGGGGUUGGUGGCUUCUCCACCGGAGGUGGCUUAUAAACGGGGGUUGGUGGCUUGUAUUCUGGGGGUGGUUUCCCCAGUGGUGGAGACUUGUAAACAGGAAGAGGUGGUUUGUGCUCAUAUGGGGGUGGCUUGUGGUCAUUAGCAAGUGAGGGAGUGGUGAGGACCACCAAUCCAAGGAACAACACGAGUGAGCAAGCAGAAGACAUGUUUGGGCUCUGGUGAUGCACAAGUAGAAGAAAUGGGAACCAUUUAUAAUGCUUCGAGACCUUGGUUAGCACCAAAAUAUGUCAAAAUCUUGAUUACUUCAUUUCAUACAUAGAUUUAAAAUUAUUUCAAUCAACCAUGAUCCUUAAUUUUCUGGGUGGUCCAUAAAUGUAAUGGGGUCAAUUUGGGACCUAACAAGCUGAGAAGUUUGACAAUGCUGCAAGGCUUCAUCCGAAAGUCCGGGGAAGAAUAUUAGGAGUUACACUCCGUUUCCUUUUUUGGGUGCAUUUUUCUCCUUUAACAUUCUAUUCCCUUUUACAUUAGCAUUUGAUCUUAGCUCAUUUCAAGUACAAGUUUCUUGAACCCUAUACCAUUGUCAAAGUUGAGUAACCAUCUCUACUUUGCUCAAGAAACAUAAAAGACAAUGACAAUAAAGAAAAAGGAGAGAGACCAUACGUGACUUGGUUUAUAGGUGGCUUUGUGUUGACAUUUGAGUAUGGAAGCCGACAUGCAUCUUAGCUUCGAUUUUAAUUAAAUUUGUACAUUAGUGUCUGUGUCAUUCAUUUUGGUAUAAAAGGUCUCUUGAUUUCGUAAGUUUGGUAAGAACCGUUGAAAAUAGCAGUAGCAGCACAUGGUCCACUUUCUUUCACAAAAUAAUUUUAAAAGUUUAGAAGCAUAGGAGGUAACAUUAGUGGCCUUGUGGCUCAGCCACGAGUACUAUGUGGUGCUCGAGAAAUUGAGUUUAAUUUCCUUCCGAUAGUUCAUGAUAAGGUCCGUCACUGUCCUGAGACAGAUUGCGUUUUUUCUUUUUUCCUUUUUUAGUGUUUUAUUGACUAGCUAGGUGUGACUUUUCCUACUUUAAGGCACGAGGCAGAAAAGAAACUGGGAUUUAGUGCUUAAGAAGGCAAAUUUAAUUCGAUUUGGAUCUAAAAUUUGCCAGCAACAUGAGAUUUUCCAGCCUAUCGUUGCUCCACAUAUAGACAAGGCACUUGUAGAAGUGGCUUGUUUGUAGCCAUUCCCGAUAUUUGGACUCACUUGAUUCACCGGACACUUUGAUAAAAUUUAAUAUUUAUUAUUUAAUAAUUUAAAUUGAUUUAAAAUUAAAUUAUACCGAAGUUGUGAUUUAAAAAUUAUUAUUUAAUUCUUACUUUUAAAUAUGAAGAUUAUUUGAUAAAAAUAAUUUAAAAUUUAUUAUAAAUUAUCAAAUUAACAUAUUUAUCCUUAUAAAUUAUAAUUAAAACAGAAAAGGUCAAAUGAUUUGAGUAUCCAUAGAUGUGGUAAAAUAAUAAAAAAGAUUAUAAAAACAAUUAUGAUAAAUAAAGAUAAAAAGUAAAAUGAAUAUGUGAAUUUAAAGAAUAAAUUAAUUAUUUUUAUUUAUUACUUAAAAUUAUUUUUGACUUUAAAUUAUAUUAUUAAAUUAUUUUACCAAACAUACUUAAUUUAGUUAAUAAUUUAAAUUUAAUUUAAGUUAUUAAAUUGAUUCACCAAAUACCCACUUAAUCAAAGACUGAAGUAUACAUUAUUUGGCCAAAUGCAGCUAUUGAAAUUUAACUUUUUCCAAACUUAUUCAUUUUGUGGAAAUAUUUUUAGAAAUGAUUUUAAAAAUGCACUAUUCUGUGUGUUGAUUUUAUAUUUUGGCAUUAAUCCAACAUAGAAAACGGUUCUUAUUUUCGCUGUUAAAUAGGUACCAGAUCCUUAAUUAGUGCCGUGAAUCCGGCAGCUUCCAAUGAGUAAUUUGGACUUGGGUAUUGACAAUGUGUGGCCAUGCUUCUACUAUUUUAUUAUUCUUGAAACAUAUAUGAUAUAUUGGACUUUAUACAGGGAAAAAAAAAAAAAAAAGUCUUCACCAAAAAUGAUUCCUCCUAAAAAAUAGACUCCACAAACUAGGUUUAACAGGAAAAUGAUUCUAAUCUAGUAGUUUCCAGCCACAUGAGCAUUUACGUAACAAUAGUAUAGUUGAUAACGACUUUUAUUUUAUUUAUUUUUAAAUAGUUAAAGGGAUAAUUUUUGAGCUUAAAUUUUAUUUUUUUAUUUAGAAACAUUUUACUUUAUUUUUUAAUCAUAAUUCUAUUAUAUUAAUGUUUUAUUUUCUAUUUUUUAAUAUAUAAGGAGAUACUAAAUUUAUGUGAUUAUUUUUUAAAAAUUUAGUAUAUGAAAUUAAAUAAUUGGAUAUAUAUACAUAUAUCAUAUAAUGUUUUUUAAGUGUGAUUUUUGAACUUUUUAGUCAUUUUAUAAGUUUAAGCUUUUGAUUUUUUUUUUUAAACUUUGGUAUUUUUUAUUUUAUAUAAAACUAUUUUGAUUUAAUUUUAUUAAAAAAUAUUGGUAUUAUAAAUUAUUGUAUUAAUUAUUUUUUUAUAUUAUAAUGUAACUGGUAUAUACUAAAAAAUGUAUGCAAGUUCAAUUUAAGUUUCAAAUUAAAAAAUUUCAUUUAAAUAUUUAAUAACUUGUUCAUAAUAAAAAAUUAAACAACAUAAUACAAAUGAAAAGAAACAUAAAAGAAAAAGGAAAAAAUGGUCCUCUCUGUGUGUCACAUUACUAGGUCAUCCUCUUUUUCUAUGACCCUUACAAUAGAAUGGCAUAUUUGUCAAAUCUACUUAUGAAAGUUGGAAUGUUUCUACAUGUGUAGGGUCCAUUGGAACUAAUGGAGGAAAGGCUUAACGUCUAUGUAAAUCACAACGUUGCCUAGGUGGGCAUAGAUCUAGUUGUGUAACAUGAGAUGGUGUGAGAGUACAAUAUAUGCAUUGUAGUCUCUAUGGGAAGAGAGAUAGGUAAUGGUAGGGUGGUAGACGGUAGGGUGAUCUCUAAUAUAAUGACAUUUGAUGUGGUGGCUUCUAAGAGAGGAGAUAUAAGAGAUGGUAGAAUGACAUUUGGUGUAAUGGUCUCUAGUGCAAUGACAUGUGAUAUGGUGACCUAUAAAGAAGAGAUAUAGGUGAUGGUGAAGUGGUAUGUGGUGUAGUGACCUUUGAGAUAGAAAAUAGAGGUAAUGGUAGGUUGGCAGGUGGAGUGGUCUUUGGUGUAGUGACAUCAAUUAUAAAUGUCUCCAAGGGAGGAAAUAAAGGUGAUGGUAGGUAGUAAAUGUUGAGGUGGUCUUUGAUAUGUUAUGCUCUAAGAGAGAAGGUAUAGGUAAUGAUAAUAGGGAAUUUGACAUAGUGGUGUUGGAAAUAAAAAGUGAAAGUGACCGUAGAGGUGAAAGGGCAAGUGUAAAAGCCUCAAGUACGAAUGGAGUAAUUAAUGUGGAUGGUGCUAACAUAGUCUUAGGUGGAUACACAAAUAGUCAUAGUCAUCAACUAGCUUGCCCACCAUCUGUCUUUCUGCUAGUGAUAGGUUACAUCUUAAUAGUAAUGGCCAACAUAAGUGGUGUGGAUCCGAUUUUUUUACGUGUGUCCCCACUCAAUCGACAAGACUUAUUUUUUAUUAGUGAAAAAUUAAUUUUGGAAAAGUUGGAGUCACCACUUAUUUUAUUUUAUUUUAAAAAGGAAAGUAAAACAAGAAAGAGAACUCUAAAGAAGUGACUUCAUAGUUUUGGAAAAGUUAGUCUUAAAAAAUCCAAGUCUUGGUCCGGAGAUCAGGUUACUUAUUGGGAAGAUACCUCUAAGAGGUAAUACCCCUCUAAACCCUAAAGAAGUCUCUAAUGACUAAGUUGAGGAGAAUGUGGUAAUUAAUUAAUUGAUUGAGGGUACCUAGGUAGACUAAGGUGAUUUCAGAAUUAACAUACCAAGCUAGAAAGUCCAAUCAUGAUCAUAAAAGAGAGUCAAAGUAUGUACCUGAACUGCUUCUCAAACGCUAUCAUAAAACAUCAAAGUUAGUAUAGAAAUAUAACACAUAAUAUUUGUUUUAUCCAAGCAAAUAAAGCAUACAUCUAAGCACCCAAGAAUCACAUCAAGUAUGGAUAUAGUCAUCAAUAGCAUACGUGUCCAUAGAACUAUCGAAAGUAAAUGUGGAGGAGCGUAUCUGGACAACAUAGAUAACUUAUAAUGUGCUUCCACAAGACAUGGGGGUUAGAUAAAAGUUAUAAUAAUAAUUAGUAAAUGAAAGAAUUCUAGCAUGUUUGGUAUCUAAAUAACAUAGCAAAAAUGAACAAGAGUACACGAAAACAUCAAUUAUCACACGAGUCAUAUUGGCUAGUAUUUAAUCAAUAAACCAACAAUAAAUGACUAUAAACAUAUAAAAUGACAUAUUCAAAGAGACCCAAACAUAAAGAGCCUAGAACACAAGCUUACACUAAAUUUAGAAAACUAAAACAUGGAAUUUUAAAAGCAUAAAUUAGCAAACAAAUUGAUGGAAACUAAAUUUAGAUAACUUAAGAAUAUUUUUCUUAUCCUUCAAUUUAAAUCAGUAAGCCAACAAUAAAAAAUUAUAGAAACAUGGAAUAUCAAGAUCAAUGGGAUACCUAAACUAUAAUUUUUAAAAGAAAAUAAACUAAGCAUAAUAUCUACAAAGCAACUAAACUAACAUUUUUUUAAAAAUAAAUUAAACAUGACAUUAAUGGAGUAACCAAACUAAAUUAAAGUAAACUAAAAACAUUUAUGAAUUUUCAAACAUGGAAUCAGCUUUCUUAGUAAAUUAAAAUUAUUAAAAUAAAAUCUAAGCUUAAAAAUGAAUUAAAUACUAACUAAAGCAAAUCUAAAACCAAAUAUUUAACACAUAGGAUCAAUUAUAUUAACAAACUAAAAUUUUAUAAGAACACUUAAACCUAAAGUUGAAUUAAAAACUAACCAAUUUUUAAAACUAGAUCUUUAACCCAUAGGAUCAAUUAUAUUAACAAAUAAAUAAUAAAUAAUAAAUAAAUAAAACUCAAACCUAAAGAUGAACUAGAAAUGUACCAAAGUAAAUUCAAAACAAGAUCUUUAACACAUUAGAUCAAUUAUAUUGACUAACUAAAAAAAAAAAAAAAAAACACUCAAACCUGAAACGAUGUAUUAGAAACUAACCAAAGCAAAUUUAAAAUAGAGUCUUUAACACAUAGGAUCAAUUAUAAUCACUAACUUAAAUUACAAUUUUUGAAACAUGAACUAAUUAGUGUUGGAUUAAUUAAACUAAUUAACUAAAAAAAACUAUAAACUAGAAUACGGUGAAUCAAGAAUUCAAAUCAACAAACAUAAAAUAUGGGUACAAUGAAAUGAAAAUCUAUUAAACUAAUAAGACGGAAAUAUGACAAACUCAUGAACCCACAUUUUGAUCAACUAGGAAAUAGAAAUUAAUAGACCUGUAGCAUGGAUACAAUGAAAUGAGAUCAGUUAAAUUUAUUUGCCGAAAUUCUAAAAAACACAUACACUCAAAUAAGAUCUAAAUCUAAGACCAAGCAAAACUCAAACUUUCUCAAUCUAAUGCAAUGAAUCAAAACUAAAAUUAAAUAGAAAUCAAACCAUUUUUUUUUUAUCUAAUAUAAUAAAUCAAAGCUAAAACUAAACAAAAUCGAAUUUUCUUAAUUUAAUAUGAUGAGUCAAAGCUAAAAUUGAACAAAGUUCAAACCUUUAUAUAAUGGAUCAAAGUUAAAUCUAAAUGAAAUCCAUACUUCCACAAUUUGAUAUAACAAAUCAAAAAUAAAACUAGAUAAAAAAAAAGUCAAAGCCUUUCAACUUGACAUAGUGAAUCCAAACUGAAACGAAACAAAAUUUUAACUUUUCCAAUGAAACCCAAUAUAGAAAAAAUUAGCUUACCUUCUUUAGAAUAUAUGUAUGGGCCAUAAAGAAGUCACCUUGGUGCAUGUGUUCCUCACUUUGACGCCAAUGGACGACUUUCUAUGGUAGCAAAUGGAGAUCCUUUUUGGUGGUAACUUGCGUGUGGAAACCUAUGGUACAACCAAUGUCAUCUUUUAUUGUGCGUGUGGACCAAUUUCUUCUCGAGAACUCAUGUGUGUUGUGCUCAAAAUAUGUUGCCUGUGAGAAUCUAUUGGUAUACCCCACAUAUGGUUUCCUUGAGAGAAUCUGUGGUUGUGUGUGGGCGUUUUCUUCAUGACAGCAUGUGGAUGUUCCCAUCUAUGGUAGAUUGGUUGUGAUGCUUUAGUGCAUGGUCUCCAUAGGAAUAGUGUGUUAUGGAAAUUUGGUUUUUUUAUUGGUGCAUGUUGUCUAGACUUUCCCAUAUGCGUGGACUGUGUGUUCAUGCUUUUCUUUUCGGAUGGUCGCCUGUGUUAAUGUGUGGCGGUGUCUACAAUGAAAGAUACAACCCUUUCUCUCCUUCUGCGUGAUAGAAAAGUCAAUCCCCCAUGGUGCGACUAUGUUCCCUCGUCCUUUUUGAAAAAUUUUGGUGUUUUCCCCCCAAAAAAUCCCCUCCAAAAAUCUAAUUAUAAAUGUCUGCUUUGGCCUAAUGUGUGUGCUACUUUUUUUUUCCUUCUUUUUAUGGUUGUGCGUGCUUUUCUUGAUACGUGGCUUAUUUCUUAAGGAUAUGAUUCGCUCCCAAUUGGUGUCUCAGCUGAUUCAUGUCCUUUCAAUGGUCCCUGACAGUGGUGCCAUUUGAUUCGUGUCCAGCUGGUGUCCCUUGAUUGUGGUCCUCAGAAGGGAGUAAUCAAUAAAAUUUAUAACCUAUUACACCAUGUAUUAGGAUAGCCUUAGCUAGCAUAGCAUAGUGGCUCUAGGGUCGUUUAUUGGGAUGAGUUUUCACUUCACAAUUGAUAUUAAUUCAAGAGCUGAAUUGGUGCCUUUUCAUUUCAAGGUUAGCUUUAAAAGAAAACAUAAUCUUUGGUGGAAAAAGGUUUGGUUUUAAACUAACCAAAAAUAGUAACUGAUUUUACUUACAAAGAAAAGUGUUCUUUGGAGUUUAGAUCACUAGGCUCAGGUUCCUCAUACAAAAAGGAGAGUUCCGAUCAUUUGUUUCUUUUCCUCGCAUUAGAGAAUUAACAUAUAGUUAAUUCUCUAACCGGUGCGGUACAUAUGCUUCCCAUUAAUGGGUUCAAACACUAAAUACCUCUCACUGAUGCACCUUGCAAUGGCUCGUGCCUCUCACCUAGCAUUUAUCAUUCAAGGUGAUCUUUAACCUUGGAUUACCCAUCAAAAGCUCGCAAGAGAUAACUAAAGGAUGUCUCCUUAGAGUCCAAAAGCUUACCAAGUGUUGGUUAUUCUAGAAAAUCCUACCUUCAAACCACCUCCCAAAGGCUCGCAAGAGAUAAACAAGUGCAUCUCAAUGGAUGAAGAUCACUUGCCUUACCAAGUUUUGGCCCAGAUGAUUUAAUGACAUUUUAAGUUAACUAAAAAGAUAAAAACCAUUAACGGGUCACACUUUCUCUUCAUUAAAAACUAAAACAACAAAACUUCCAAUUUAUGCAUGAGGAAACUUACCUGGCUUUCUUCACUUCAAGAGAUGAAGAGCCUAGCCACUCAUCAUUUGAGGAAAAAUCCUCAGAGUUUGAUUUGCUAGAAAUAAAAAUAAUGAGAAAACAAAAAUAUAUAUAUGAAAAACAGAGCAAGUUCUCUGUAAUAUAUUUUUCUUCCUUAUACAAAAGGUUGUCUCUAAGAACAAGUUCCCGAGAUCUAUCUGAUUGUAAAUAAAAUUACAACUAUAUAUAAGAGGUUAUUCACCCCUUUGUUCUUUCUUAAAGACUAAGGAAUCCUAUGAUAGGUGGGUUACAAGGAGAGUUUGGGGAUUUAGACAUCAAAUAUCUAAAGCAAAAUAUCUCAAGAUGUUAGUCGGAAAUAUCAGGAAGCUUCAGGAGAACACCGCGACACUGUAUACUGAGAGAAAAACUCUCCGGGUAAGCUCUAUCAAAGGAUCCAGACAUGUCUGACUGGGAAAGUUGAAACGUCCUUCUCUCCCAUCCGGAUGUGAGAUAUCCGGAGAAAGUGAAAUGUCGGUCGGACAGAAUUCUUUCCCCGGGUGGAAUGAGUUGUGUUGCGCGUCGCAAGGGGGACCGUCUGCGUGUACAAGUUGUAGGGACCCCUCUCCCGGAUGACACCGAGCGCGUAAGGCUAUCCGGAUCAACUCCAUUCGGAUUCCCCAAGAGGACAUGUGGCGUGCUCCCCUAUCAGGACUCCCUUAGGGAGAAGCACACGACACUCGUGAACAUCAUACCCGGACGAUAGCAUGUCCUAUCCGGAUGUGUUGUCCGGAUCAUUGACUAAAGUGAGCAAGCCUUGCUACGUCAUUCGGACAGCUUGCCACAUACCAUGUUCCGUCGCCAUCUGAUGGUGUGUCCGAACGCCUUGUCCGGACAUCUUUUGCUCCUUGCAUUCCGGAUUUGCUUAUGACAAAGGACUUCAAAGCUUCGGUUCUUCAUGUUUCUGAGCUUUCCAUUGCUUUGCCAUGGAUUCCAAAGAACUCUCCUUAAUCACGGAUUGCUUUGGUGAUCAAAAAGUUAUCAAAACACAAAAACUUAACAUAGUUUGAUUAGAAUUGAUUGCAAGGGUUCUUAAUAUGUUAAUUGGGUUAAAAGGUGAUAACUACUACUCAAAAGUGUUUAUAAGAAUUAAUUACAAGCUAUGAAAUAACACUUUUUGAGUAGUAAUCAGGAUACAUCCUAGUUUUUCAUGGAAUUGAUAGUGGGUUGUUGUGCAUGAAUGCCACCAUUUCAACUAUGCUGUUGUUAUUUUUAAAAAAAAUAUGGAUUAUGCGCGAGUGGCAAUUCUCCACUAUGGAAAGUGGAUUGCUCCUUCAACCCAUGCAUGGCUACGUAUUCCUAUGUCUUUCUACUUGUGUUUGAUCCUCCAAAAAAAAUUUCGGUUUAGUGCUAGUAGAUUUUAAGUGGUGGAUCCCCAUUUUUUGAAAAUGAAGUGGCAGCCUCCCAUUUCAAGACAAAAUGGUAGCCUGCCUUUAAUCUUUGGAGAAAAAUCUGUGCAUGACCUUUUUUUUUCCCAAAAAAUCCGUGCAUGGUGUCCUUUAAUAUUUGGAGAAAAAUCUAUGUUGGAUCUUUUCUUUUCUAGAAACAUUUGUGUGGUCUUUUUUGUUAGCCCAAGGGUUCUUCUAAUCAAGUUUUGAUGAUAACAAACCAUGGUUAAGUGACUAAUUGGUUUAAUGAUUAAGAAUCUCAAACAUAAAAUCGAAAAUUCAUCAAAGGACCAAAUGGAUACAAGAUCGAGACGCUUGGAAGACUUGUAAUCAUAGGAAACUAAUGUAAGAUGAAUGCAUGAGUGCACUUAGGAUUUUCACACGUUUCAUGCAACUUAGAAAACCCAGUUUAUUCUUUAAAACUUCAUCCCAGUUUAUUCUUUUUAUGGUUGUGUGUGCUUUCCUUGAUACGUGGCUUAUUUAUUAAGGAUACAUCCCAGUUUUUCAUGGAAUUGACAGUGGGUUGUUGUGUGUGAAUGCCACCAUUUCAACUGUGCUGUUGUUAUUUAAAAAAAAAAAAAAUGGAUUGUGCGCGAGUGGCAAUUCUCCACUAUGGAAAGUGGAUUGCUCCUUCAACCCAUGCAUGGCUACGUAUUCCUAUGUCUUUCUGCUUGUGUGUGAUCCUCCAAAAAAAAUUUUGGUUUAGUGCUAGUAGAUUUUAAGUGGUGGAUCCCCUUUUUUUGAAAACUAAGUGGCAGCCUCCCAUUUCAAAACGAAGUGGUAGCCUGCCUUUAGUCUUUGGAGAAAAAUCUGUGCAUGACUUUUUUUUUCCCAAAAAAUCCAUGCAUGGUGUCCUUUAAUAUUUGGAGAAAAAUCUAUGUGGGAUCUUUUAUUUUCUAGAAAAAUUUGUGUGGUCUUUUUUGUUAGCCCAAGGGUUCUCCUAAUCAGGUUUUGAUGAUAACAAAUCAUGGUUAAGUGACUAAUUGGUUUAAUGAUUAAGAAUCUCAAACAUAAACUCGAAAAUUCAUCAAAUGACCAAAUGGAUACAAGAUCGAGACGCUUGGAAGACUUGUGAUCAUAGGAAACUAAUGUAAGAUGAAUGCAUGAGUGCACUUAGGAUUUUCACACGUUUCAUGCAAUUUAGAAAACCCAGUUUAUUCUUUAAAACUUCAAUUUCAUUAAAACCCGAGUUUUUAACUAAUGUACCUUAGGCAAAAUGUUUUAUAAUUGGCUUAAUAAUUCACCUAAAUACAUUUUCUAAGUGUUAGAAAAGAAAGGAAUUAAAAAAAGGUUUUCGGGGCAAAAAAGGCUCAACCGGUCGAGGCUAUGGUCAACCGGCUCAACCGGUUGAGGAACCAAUCGAUCGGUUGUGCUUGUCCGAUCGAAGACCAAUCGAGGGAUGCCAAAAAAUUUCUCUCUCUCCUAGUGGCCUUCUCUUCCCGGUCGAGGUUCGGUCUAGGCAACGGUAACAUGUCAAGCAUUAAAUGCUCCGACGACUAGUGAAUCGGUCGACCCCUAGCCCGAUCGGACGAGGUUGCCUUUUGCUGUUUUUGACUCCCGAGCUUAGAAACCUAUAAAUUGAGAGCUCCACUUCAUUUAUUGAUAAAAGAGAACACUUGCAUUCAAUAGUCUACCUACCUUUUCUUGAUCAAAAAGCUCUCAUUUCCUUCAUAGUGCAUUAAAUCAUCACUUGCAUAUCCUUUAGUGCACUAUUGUGUGUCAUCCUAGCUUUGUUUUGUAUUUGAGCUAUCCUUAAGCUAGGUUGAGGGAUUAUUUCUUAUAAAAAUCUGAGUGUUAAAGCCUUCAAGAGAUUUGAAUCUUGAAGAGAUUGUGUAAGAGCCCAUUGGAGCCGGAGUCCAAGUGUAAGAAGAUUGGAAGCUUGGUUGAAGCUUCAAGUUAGUGGAACCCUCACUCGGUUAGGAGGUUGAGGAGAGUGGACGUAGGUAAGGAAGUGUCGAACCAUUAUAAACCCGAGUUUGAAUUCUCUAACUCUAUCUCUUUAUUUUGCUUAUAUUGUGUUUGAAUUUGUUGUGAUUGAAAAGAUUUUAAAAACCUAAUUCACCCUCCCCCCUUUUGGGUUUUUUUUUCUUAAUUAAGCAUAACCUUUGUUUUCUAAUUUUCUUUUUAGGAAAAUCCAUGCGUGGUAUGUCCAAACUCUCCAAGUGGCAGUCUGCCUUCUUCUAAAAAAUUUGUUUCUAUUUCUUUAUUCGACUACCUUCCAUGUCUUCCUAAUGAGUGCUUGUGCUCAAUGGUCAAUCCCUGGUGGUUGCCUCCUUUUCCCAUAUAUACGUGUUGCAAAAUCAACAUCCCACUAUAUGUGGGUUGCCUCUAUGGCAAGUUCACAUUUCCCACAUGAAACCUAUGAGUUUCCACCAAAAAUUGCCAUGAAAAAGUCUUUAUAUGCAUCUCAUGCAAUAAAAAGUCAAGCCAAUACUCAUCUUAUCUCGAAAAAUAAGUAACCAAAAUCAAGAUCAUGCCUAAGUGAACUAUGCCAAAAGAAGUGUCCAAGUGACCUAUUAUGAAAAAAGUGCCUAAGUGACCUAAGGUGAAUGUGUGUAAGCUGGAAGGUGUCUAGGAUGUUUAGGACAAUGCCUAAGCCUAAAAUAGGGUUGCCAAGGGUCACAAUGGGGUUAGAUAAAUCUCUCAAUCAGAGUCUCCAAGGUGGCUCAUAAAAGAUAAGCUACACGAGUAAUGAUGGGCCACCAGGGAAUUAUUGUAAAGCACCAAACGAACACAUAAUAGGACAUGUGUUAGAAUGAAAAAAUGGAGGGUUUACAAGUGGUCUCAUGGAUGAGCUUGAUAAUUUAAAUGACUCACAUAAUGAACGUAUGUGAUGUUUCUCUCCAAUAACAAGCAAAACAUCACUAGCAAUAUGAUGAAUGUCUCCUAAAUCACUUGAAGUAGUCCUAGCAAAUCAAUUAGAAAAAUCACACAUAUUGCUCUAAUGUAAUAUUAUAUACAUCUGUCAAUGAAUGGGAGAACUAAUGACACAACCAUCAUGUUGAUAUCUCGAACCCUCUAAUCUCAUAUGUAGGUGGGAUCACACUUAGAAACUCAUAACACAGUAAUGACCAAUCUAAGUCAAAAUGUGUUGGUGAUCGGAGGCCCAUGAAUAUGAAGUUCUAGGAUGAUAAUGACAUCUUAUAAAGUAAUGAUCAUCUCCUUAAUAGAUAGGUGAAAUGUGUGUGUCUUAGGACACCAUCUCUCAACAAGACUUGUGAUCAAUCCCCAGUCUAGUGUAACAUGCCUAUUAUGACAUCCAUCGUAAAAUCUAGACUAGAUAAUAUAAGGACAAAUGUGAGGGUUCAUCUCCCUUUCCCACAUAAAUUUAAAAAAUUAUUAUUGACAAGUUAAGACCAAACUAAGUUGCAAAAUAUAAAUAAGUCCAUUAGAUAACAAAUUUAUGUUUUCUCAUUUUCUCAUUUUUAAAGAGAUAUUAUGUGCUUCCAUGUACAUACAUGCUAAAGUCAAUUAUACGAGACUUAUAUCCAUCUUGUAGAACCAAAUCGAACCUAUCUAAUAGAUCCAGAUUAGAAGUAUGUCCUCUAUACUCCAUAUUUAUAACACAUUUAUAAAGAUAAAUGCUAAAAAAAUGUUAAAGAUAUAAAUUUAAUGAACCAUACUUUAUGAUUUUAAUUCUCAAUUAUUGUUCAUAUUUAUAAGAGAAAAGUUAAAAAAAUUGAUAGAGUUUUCCCUCUAUCAUGGACAUUAUCCCAAAUAAAAAUAAAUUGAUUAUGCAAAUUACAUUAAUAUUUGUAACCAAAUGAUCAAUAACUAUCUUGUAUCAAUUUAGUAAAUAAAUUUAAGUAUAUCUUUUCAUUUAUGACUAACAAAUAACUCAUACUUGUCCAAUAAAAGCCACACCUAAUUUCUAAAAUUUUGUCUUCACCUCAAGUGAGUGUUACAUUGAGAAAGAAAAAAUAUGAAAGAAAAAAUGAACACCUUUUUCUUUUAAUAAAAAAAGGCCAUAACGAAACAUUAAAUCUCACUGUUACACCUAUCUUCAAUGGAAACAUGAGGAUGUGAAUGGUGGCGGUGAUAUUCUUUGCUUGAAGCUCAUAAACAAAUAUUCCUUACUAAGCCUAUGCCAUUUAGUAUUUCAAUAGUGGACCCCCCCCCCCCCCCCCCCCCCCUCCUUGCAUUUCAGAUUUAGCAAACUUAGAACCAAAUAACAAAGUGCAUUUGAACCCAUAAAGAAGUAAUGAGACUCUCCUAUAUUGGCAAUAGAAGAAAUUUUUGGAGGUAUAGGAGAUUCACGGAUGAAGAAGUUGGGCCCCAAUUGAGAUAAGACCCAAGAAAAGAUGGGGUAGAGAGGGAUGGUUGGAAAUUGUAAAGUAAGAUUUUCAAAAUGUAGUUGAUGACUAAGAUUUUGACAAUUUAAAAAAGGUUUAAAAAUGUAGUUAGCAAUCGGGGUUUUGUAACAUUUAAAAAAUAAAAUAAAAUCUCAGGCCACAUGGUAGCCCAUGUGAUUCAGAAGCUUGAGAAUUAUUUUAUAAGAAGACUUAAUUUGUGAUUUUUUUAUAACUAUAUUAUUUUUUUUCUUAACACACGAAAAAAAUUAUGAAAUAAGACAAUUUUCCUAAGAAAGCAUGUAAGUGACUCUUGGUUAUUUUAUUUAACUUCUUCUAGUUUGGAGAGGAUUAAUACCUUUGCUUUUACUCACUUGCUUGGAUAUGUACACGUUGUUCAUGUCACUUUUCAUUUAAUUUUCUGAUUAAGGGAAUUGGAACCGUACGUAACUGUCUUUAUUCCCUCUGAAACUUGGACUUGGAGUUGGACUUUCAAUCUCAUCAGUCGUGUUUCCAUAAAAAAGAAGAUGGAUUAACCAAUUUUCCUAUGCCUACUAAUCAUACACAAAACUCCACUUCCAAAUAAAAAGGAAUGGGAUAUCACUUGUUAAUAGUGGCUAAAGACUAUUAAUAACCAUGCAAAGAAAUGUCACAUUUUUUGUUCUACGCAAAUUUUAUUCAUCAACUACUAGAACCAUUUCAUACAAUAGUAGCUUUUCGAUCCUUUGAUAAAUGGACACUUGAUGUGAUAACACCAACUACACCUAUAUAUUCAAGCAAUCAUGCGUAUAUAAUAGUGGAUAUGGAUUACUUCUCUAAAUGGGCAAAAGUUUUGUCAUUCAAGGAAAGUGAACGAGGAAACACAAGUUUACUUUCAUCGGAACUAAUAUUAUAUAUUGAUAUGACUUCCCAUUAUUACUUACGAUGGAAUAUGCUUCCAUAAAAUGGCCUAGAUGAACAAACUAUCCAAGAAGUUUGGGAUCAAAUAAUAUAUAUAUAGUUCAUGUGUGAUUCUUUGGUUGACAACCUUGUUAAGGGGUGAGUGAAGCACUUUGGGCAUACCACAUACUACAUGCUAGACUUCCACCCAAGCUACCCUAUAUUCCUUAUGAACAAAGUAGAAGUUGUCAUCUCUCUUGAAUACCAAAUCCUUUCACCUAAUAAUGCUAUCUAAAAAGGUCUUAAAAAGGAUAAAAAUGCGCAUAUUUGAAUUUUUGAAUUAGGAGUGCUACUUAAAAAGAAGCUAGAUAUACAAUAAUAGAAUGUUAUCAAGCAUAUCUCUUCAAAGUUUUUGACCAAAAAAUAUAUGAUUUCUCAUUUUAGGUAGGAGACUUAGUACUCACUAUUCAAAAACCAAUUAUCAUUACUCAUAAAAACUAAUAGAAAGUUUGGGCCAAAGUAGGAUGGACCUUAUAUUAUGCAACAAUUAUGCCUAUAAAAUUGUUGCAAAAGAGGUUUUAGAAUCAAAUCAAUGAAUGAAAAAUUAUUAAAGCAUUACUAUGCUUGAAGGCUAGUCAUUUUCCCUUAAAGUGCAAUAUUAAGUUGCAUAGUACUAUGUGGAUCCGCAUUUUUCACAUGCGUUCCCACUCAUUGUCGAGACUCACUUUUUAGAAGUGAAAAAUUAGUUUUAUUAAAGUCGAAGUUGCCACUGGGGAUUUGAACCCUAACAAAAGGUUCAAUUUAAGGAUAAAAAUAUCGAUAAUCACAUAUAUAUAUAUUGGUACUUUGAUUUUAUGAAUAUAUUGAAGAAAUAUGGACAAAUAUUUUGACACAAAAUAUGUACAAAAUAAAAAUUAUAUAAAAAGUAAAAAUAAAUAUUUUAAAAUUAUUUUUUUAAAUAUAUAUAUAUAUAAUUUGACAUAUUUGAUAAUAAUAUAUAAGGGUCUCCAAAAAGCCCGUGGCCCGCUUUAGGCCCGGUCCGACCCGACAGGCUAAAGCCCGGCCCAAGCCCGCCGGGCCCAAGCUCGGCCCGAGCCCGUUUAUGGGUGGGCCGGGCCGCGAGCCCGUAGGCCUGCUCCUUUAAAAAAAAACUACAAAAAUAAAAAGUAUUAAAAAAAAUAUUCAUUUCAAAAUUUUAUUCAUUGAAUGUAUAAUUACAUUUGAAAAUGUGGGAAAAGUUUACAUCACUACAAAAUAAAUACAUCCCAACUAGGUUGGCACCUAUUUAUUUGUCAAUCAUCUGUAUUUUUCAACCACAAAAAAUAAAAAUAAAAAUAUAAUAUACAUUUAGUCAUUAUUUUCUGGCGGUGAUGGCGAACUAUCAUGCAUCCAUGAAGAUCUUGAUAAUUUUAAAGAUUCCAUAUCGGUAAGCAUCUUUGUUUCUCGAAUGGAAUCAUACAUCCUUUUAUCUGCUAUUUCCCAAUCUUUCACACAUAUCCCUGCUUUAAUAACAUCUGACGCUAAGUUGCAUCGUUUUUUACUAACUACUCUUCCACCUGCACUAAAAGCAGCUUCUGAUGCAACUGUACUCACAGGAACUGUUAGUACAUCACGAGCAAUUAUAGAAAGCACAGGAUAUUUGUGUUGAUGUGAUUUCCACCAUAUUAAAAUAUUAAAAUCUUCUUGAUCUUCAAAUGAAAUUAUAUCAGUAUUAAGAUAUUUAUCUAAAUCAGAUGUAUUAUUUGGAGAAUUAUUUGUUGUCUUUUUUCGACUUUUCAACAUUUCUAGAGCUCCUUUAUAAAAAGAUGAGGAGUUUGUAGAUGUAGGUGGUAAUUUAAUAGUAUUAAUAUCAUUACCAUAUUUUUCUUUAUAAUAGUUAUAUAAAUUAUAUAAUAAUGAAUUUAUUUCAUUUUUAAUUUCUUCAAUUUUUAUUUGGUCAUUAAAAUAAAUAAUUGUUAACCAUUCAUCCAAAGCUUCAAAUUUCAAUCUAGGGUCCACAAUUAAAGCAAUAUAAAAAAUUAAAGGUAUUUCUCCCCAAUAUUUUCUAAAUUUUUAUAUCAUUACAAAUAUUGUAUCAUUAAAUAUUUCAAAACUUAAAUAUUUUUGAAGUACAAUAAAAAUAUUAGUUAUUUGCGUAAUAACUCGAUUUGAAGUUGGAUAAUAUACACCACAAAAAAUGUUUGUUGAAGUAUCAAAAAUUUCAAAAAGAUCUCUUAAAACAUCCGCAAUAUGCCAAUCAUAAUCAUUUAAUGCAUAAAUAUCUGCUUCAUAAUCAUUGUUAAUUAAUUGUAUUUCAUAUAAUUCGACUACUUUUCUAUAUUUUGUAAUAUUUUCUAAAAGUUUAUAUGUGGAAUUCCAUCUAAUAGCCAUAUCCAAAUUUAUAUUUUUUCUUUUCAUAUUUAACAUUUUGCAACAAUCAAAAAAUAAUUCAUGUUUUGCUUGAAAACUAUUAAUACUAUAUGCAAUGCCUCUAAUUUUUUUCCAAUGUACUAUCAACAUUUUUUAAUCCAUCCUUUACAAUUAAAUUUAAAAUAUGUGCACAACAACGCACAUGAAAUAUUUUAGCAUGAUCUUCUUUUACUUGCCAAUAUCGUUUUAGUCUAUGUAUUGCUGCAUCAUUAUUAGCAGCAUUAUCUAAUGUUAUUGUCAAUAUUUUAUCACGAAUGCCUAAAUCUAUAAUUUCAUCAUUUAUUAAAGAUGCUAUAUUUUUACCACUAUGUGGAGUAUUUAUUAAUUUAAAUAAAAUUAUUCUUUUAUUUAAUUUCCAUUCAUUAUCAAUGUAGUGAACAAUUAUAUAUAAAAAACCAGUAUGAGUUAAAGAUGUCCAAAUGUCAGAUGUUAAACGAAUAUUUCCUUCAAAAUUUGCAAAAUUUUUUUUUAAAAUUUCUUUUUGUGUAUAAAUUUUUUUCAUAAUAUCUCUUUUAACUGUAUUUCCAGAUCAACCUUUAAAUUGAGGAUUAAUACCUCGUUGAAUUGUUCUUGCAAAAUCAUGAGUUUCCAUCAUGUUGAAAGGUUGUUCUGCUCUUAUUAUAUAAUCAAUCAUUUCUUCACAACAGUUAGAUUCAUCAUAAGAAAAUGUUUUUAAAUUUCCACUUUCAUUUUUACUUAAUUGCAUAUAAUUUCUAAUAUCUACAUUAUUUUUAGUUUUACAAUUUUCAUGAUGUCUUUUUAAAUGACUUGUAUCUGCAUUUGAGCCACCAGUAAGAAAUUUAUUACAAAUUUUACAUUUUGCUUUUAUUUUUUUUUUAUUAUUUUCUAAAAUUAUUUCUAUUCUAUCAAAAAAAUUCCAUAUAUUUAAAGUAAAUUUUUUGUUUGAUGAUAUUUCAUCACAUGGACUAGACGAAGAAGCACUUGUCAUAUUAUAAUUAUUGAUAAAAUAUUAUGCCAAAAAUAAUAAAGUAAUAAAUAUAAAAAAAAAUGUAACAAAAAAAAUAAAGUAGUAGGGGUGAAGUAUGUUACUCAAUUAGAGAACCUAUGCAGAAAUUCCUAGCAAAUUUGAACUCUUGGAGCCACCAAUGCUUGUUUUGCACCAUCAACAAUAUUGUAUAAUUUGAGGGAAAAAUAAAAGAAUUUAAAAUAUUGUAGAAUGUGAGAGAAAUAGAGAGAAUUUGAUGAAAAAAUGAAAAGGAAGAAAAUGUAUUUAUAGGAAGGUUAAAAAUAAUAAUAAUAAUAAUAAUAAUAAUAAUAAUAAUAAUAAUAAUAAUAAUAAUAAUAAUAAUUGGCCAUGUGACCGUUGGAGGCUUAGCUCCAACGGUCACAUGGGCUGGAGCUAGGCUCCAACAGUCACAUGACCGUUGGAGCCUUUAAUUUUUUUUUUUAAAAUAAUAUACUUUAUUUUUAUAUAUAUAUAACUAACUCAAUUAAUAAACAUAAAAAGAAUAUAGUUCAGUUGGUUAGAACCUUGAAGUUUAAACAUGAGGGGAGGGGUUUGAAUCCCUCCCUCUCCCUUAGGGGCUUUUUUAAAAGCCAUUUUGGCUUAUUUCAAAAAGCCUGUCGGCCCGACCCGCCCUGCAGCCCGCGGGCCUAGCAUUUUAGCAUGGCCUGGUCUGUUGACUAGUCAAAUGGCUCAUAGGCUCGGCCCGAACUGGGCCGCGGGCCUCUUAUUUACGGACCGGCCCGACCCGGCCCGCCCGUUGGAGACCCUUGAUAAUAUCUUCUAUAUUAAGUUACAUUAUAGUUUAUUUUACAAUAUUAUUAUGAUAAUAUGUCUAAUUUUAAAAUAUAUUUAAUAUUAAAAUUAUGAUCUAUUUUAAUUUAAAUGUAUUCAAUGAUAUCAAAUAAAUAAUAAUAUAUGUAUAAUUCUUUUAUUAUUUAUAUUUAUUAUUUUUAAUAAAUAUAUAGAUUAUAUAAAAAAGACCGGAUAUAUCUUUUCAAAUUUUGUAUCGCUCUCCAAGGAUAUUAGAUGUAUGGGAAUUUGUAUUGCUAUCUACGGAUACGUUGAUAUAUGGGUGAUUUAUCAGGAUAAUUAGAAAUUCUAAUUAUGUAAGCAGGUACGGAGUUCUGUGUCGGUGCGAUCUUGUCGACAACAGCUCCAAAUUGUGCAUCUUGCUCAUAGAGAGUAGCGGAAUGCACCAAUCGUAGGCUCAGAGUACCACUGAGUCGUCUGGCAGAGACCCAACUGAAGGUGCCUGUGUUGUUCCUGAUCUGAUCAGGCUUCAAACUACAAGGUGGAAUACUGGUUCCCCUAUAUCAGAAGCUGGAGAUACCCACCCCAUAUGCUCGUCUGGAUGUGCUCCUACCCUUUGAAGCCUUCUUCCGAGUCAAGUCCGAAUUGAUAAGGCUAGUGAGUUCCCAACCAACUGUACUCAGCAUGCUGCCAGGUGGAGACCCUCCAUAUUUGAUGGCUUCCUAAUAUUAAAAUGCUGACCACUGGUCUUCAUGUUCCACAGGCUUAAUUGUGUCCUUUGCUGAAAGAAUGGAUAGUGAUCCAUUUUAACACAUGAUUCACGCCGUCUUUGCCAUUCUUCAUGGUCUAGCCCUUUUAUAUAUAUGCUUCCUGAACUGUUGCUAUUAAUAAAAUGUGGUAUCUAUCCCGUACACCUUCCUGAUGGCCAGCGAAUGCAGAAGCUACAGAAACGGUUCCAUCUUUUGCUUCCGCCACUUUGGCAUCCUCCAUGAUGAGAUCGAAGGUGAAUAAUCAUAUUCUGGGGAUUUAUGUCCUGGAUAUUCUCAGUAAUGCCCAAUUUCCUGGUGCCGGCCUCAUUUCCAUGGGAACUGAUGGAUAACUUAAGGCUUCUACCAUCUGCGUGGUUCGCUUCUAACACAGGAAACUUCACGGCUAAAAGCAAGAUACCAAGAACAUCAAGGCUGUGACAAAAAUUAGUAUUUUUAACUUGUAGGAAUUUGAAAGGCAACCAACCAUCUAGCUCUGUUCUUAAAGCUCCCAUAGGAGGAUCAGAGGCUGGAUUGCUCAAGAUGAACUCAUCCAUUGUUGCACUUAAAAAGAAUUGGCAUGAAUUGUGGCCGCUCUAAUAGGUUCCCUAAACCAUCAUCCAAGUGGGCUUGCGGAAGGUAGCGAGUUUAAAACACCUAGGGCGAUGAACAGUGGACUGUGAUGCUCACAAAAGAGAAAAGGAAGAAUUCAAUAAUUCCUAAGAAUCCAUUUGCCUGUCAUCCAAAUUUUUAUAUUCUCUUCAGUCUGACGCGUUAUGCCAUAUAUUAAAAAUAGCGGCUUCUUCCAAGCCGAGACAGACUGUGCAAAGUUCGCAAGGCCAAUCAUCACCAUAAUCUGAAGUUGGCCUCCUCAAUCGCAGCUUGUAUCCGAAUGCUCACUUCACGGGAUGGAUUGUAAUGAAAACUAAUCUCAGUCCCAGCUAUGGCAGCAUCCUCACUUGACAGCAUUUUCUGCAUAUUCUAGAACAAAGCAAUAAACCCUCAAAGGCUCCUUCGGAUCAGAGUUAGAAGACUGUCCCUCAGGAACGUGAACACUAUGGUGGUUCUGAUAAGCAGUGAUAUUGCAUUAGAGCCUUUUGGAACAAGAGGAUCUUUUCAGGUGGAAACUGUAAACUGCUUCAUGUUGGGCUGCAACCUUUUCUUCAAGCAAUACUUUCUUUCUGUAUCACGACUUAUGUUGCUUCCGGAGCCAUCCCGUGUGGACUGCCCUUCAGUGAAAGAAUAUGUGUGUUGACAUGUUGGAUUGUAAUCUUUGUUCCACUCUAAUGGCUUUUGGUCCUCCUCUUUCUCUUUAUGACAGAGAACCAUUUAGUGAUCCAUCUCUAUAUUGUAGCAUUGCUGGUGCUUUGCAAUACUACACUCUCACCAAGCAUAACAUCUAUUUUUCCGUGACCAAAGUAUGUCGGUUUAUGCAUGCGCAAACUCUUAUUCAUUGGCAAGUUGUCAAGCGUAUCUCAUGAUUUCCCAAAGCCACAAGUUCUUAUGGUCUUUCUGUUCAAGCUUACAAUGAUCUAUCUUUUCUUGGUUAUACUGAUGUCGAUUGGGCUAGUUGCCCUGAUAACAAGCACAAUACUAGUGGGUACAACACUUUUCCUGGUCCUAAUCUCAUUUCAUGGGCAUUUUCAAAGCAGAAGGUUGUGUCUCACUCCAAUAACGAAUCUGAAUAUAGGGGACUCACUAAUUAAUGUUGUUGCCAAGGUCACUUGGAUUGAAUCUGUCUUACGUGAGUUGCGUGUUUCUCUACCCCAACCACCAAUUUUGUUGUGUGACAACAUUAGUGCUACACACUUGGACAAACCAUGUUGAAAUACACUAUCAUUUUAUCCAUGAAAGGCUUAUGCAUCACACACUCAAAAUUCAAUACACCUCUUCUAUAGACCAACUAGUCAAUGCUAUGACCAAAGCUCUUCCUUCAUCUCACUUGUACAAUCUUCAGUGCAAGCUGAUUGUUCUUCCCAAACCACUCAACUUGAGGGGAGAUGUUAAGCCAAUUUAAUAAAUUGAUUUCUUUUGGUUAAUUUGUUAGAAUCAUUUUUAUUAGAGGUUUGUUUGUACAAUUACAUCCAUUUAUCAGGAGAGUACACGUGUACAACUCCUCUUUUAAUCUCACCAUUGUAUAUAUAUGAUACACGACCUUACUCAGAAUUGCAUAACAUUUCCUCUGCUCAUUCCUUUUCUUCUUUGAAUUUUCCCUUACCUCACUGAUUUUGAUUUAUACCUGGUGUUUUCACCUUUGGUCUCUACCUUUCUAGCCAGUUUUCUAAUUAAUCCGUAUAUGGUAUACCUGUCAACUAAUGAGGAGAAAGAGAAAAGGGGAUUGCUGUUCCACCAGCUACAUAUAAUAAUUAAUUACAAUCAUGGUAAUGGAUCCUGAAAUCCAUCCUUUGUGGAUUUUGUACGGAAUAUUGUUGUUAUGUAUGUGGGCUCACUUAGAUGUAUAUUGCUAGCCUGUCUGGGAAAUGUGAUUGCAGGUCCAGAUUAUGAUGUUGAUAUUAGUGGGAUAAGCAAGAGAUGCAGUUAACACGUAUGUGAUGGACUUGAGUAACUUUUCCAUUUCAGUCCAUUUUUUAAGAUUAUGCUUAGUCUUAUUACAAGGAAAGACCAUAAGAAUCAUGAGUCAUUGGCAAGGUAAUAUCAUUCCCUCUUUACAGGCUUCUUCACCUUUUGGUUUUUUUAAUAUCCAUCAAGAUCUUUUAAUUGGAGGACAAUUACAAGUAUAUAUAUAUGUAUUAAAAGGGGAAAAUAUUAAAACAGGAAAUUUUAGGGAAAAUAUAAUAAUUAUUUCUUCCUUCUUUCCCAUAUAGAACUACACAAAAUAAAACUUUAAUAAUUUUUUCUUAUCUUUUUUAUUAUUAUUUUUUCUUAGAAACAUCCGUGGUCUCACAAGCUUGUAAUCCUAGAUUGUUAGGCUCCUUUAACAGUGCCCCAACAUCGUGGUCCAAUGACAAGCUUCCACGCCUUAAAAUCAGAAAAUGCCAUUAAACUUUAUCAGACAUUACAGUUCAAGACAAAGCUUUCAUUUGCUUAAUGUGAUAAUGAAAUUGUUAAUUUCAUUUCGUGGGCAUCUAAAUUUGGACGAGCAAGACCUCUGAAUUCCCUGUUUUUAUCACCAGCAGAGGAGAUAAAAUCUUAAUGGUGAGAAUCUCCACGUGAAAUUUAUGUGUACUGUCAACAUAUUUUUGUUUAUAUAGUCCAGUAGCUGCAGGAAGUCUAGAUUAUAUAGGUAGCAGUAGCACUAUUUAUAGCACUCGAUAUUCGCUGUAUGAAUACAUUAAACCUUGUUUUCAAUACGCAUCACAAGCAAGUACUAGAUACUACAAGGAGUGACAGUCGCAUCAACAUUUCUUGAUAAUAGCAGUGACUGAUUUAUACACAGAACAGUACUGUACACGUACCAGUCACCAGAGAUAGGAUCUUAUUCCUACAUACGACUCUUAUUGAUCGAAGUCACUCAGUUGGGGUAGCCUGGAGUUGGAGGUUUGUGUGGUGGCUUCUUCUUUGGAGGAGGCUUUAUCUUUGGAGGCAUCAUCUUUGGAGGCAUCUUGUGUGAGUCUUCUUCAGCAUUCUCUACAGGAGGAUGGCCAGGCUUAUGACCCUUAGGUGGUUUGCCAACUGGGAUUGGUGGCUUGUGUCCUGAGAGUGGCUCCUCUUCUUCGGGAGGUUUGCCAACUGACGUUGGUGGCCCGUGUCCUGGGGGUGGCUUGUGUUUUGGGGGUGGUUUCACUCCACCGGGAGGUUUACCAAUUGGUGUUGGUGGUUUGUGCUCAAUCGGUGGCCUCUCAACUGGGGGGCGCUUGGGGUAAUCAGCGAGUGAAGAAGUGGUGAGAACCACCACUCCAAGCAACAACACUAGCAAGUAUGUGGAAGACAUCUUUGAGUUUGGCUCAGAUGGUGUAGAACUAGAAUCCUGGGUGGCCUUUUAUAUUAGUUGGGCCCUAUGCCCGAACGACAAGUGUCAUGGUGACACAUAAAGUGAUGGGGUCGAUUUGGGCCUACCGGAUUUGAAAACUUGGACAAUUCGAGAAGCGUCUCCUGACUCCGGGUUGUAAAGUGAAAGAUUAGGUAUCGACCAUUGAAGUAUGAUCACAACUUUUGGCCUUUGGCUCUCUCUACUGCCGUAUAGCUUUUUUCCUUUGGAUAUUUUUCUUAGCUAGACACAAUUAUUGAGCAGUCUAAUCUCGAAAUGGGAUUAGUAUAGCUUUAAGCAAAUUUAUUAUAGUUAGUGGAGGACUUUUAAGAGUGCAGACGACAUUUAACACAUGCAUGCAGUAGUAUAGGGGACAUAACACUAUUCUUUUUCCAAAGAUUCACAUGAUUUUUAUAUUAUAGUAUUGGCACAUUGUAUGUAGCUGGUUUUGUGGUUAAAAUUCCAUAUGUAGACACUGGCGUUUCUCCAUUUCUCACAAUUGAUGUUUACCUCCACGAUUACUAGAUUAGAUAUACCAAACAAUAACACAUUGUAUAAUCUAUCCGCCCUUCAAAAUCUACUGUAUGAUGAAAUGUUUCAUGUGUGUGUGAAGUGUUAGAAAUGCACUAUAGGCAACAUCAUCUUCUUUUGUCUAGGCUUGGGCCUCAAAUUAUACUCCCAUGCCAUGAUAAAUUUUCAUGUGCAUUCUCUAAAGAAGAGUGUCUUGAAUGUGCCAAAUCAUUUUGAUUGAUUUUAUGAUGUUAAUUGCUCCGCAUAUGGAUGGGUAUGUGCUUUAUUUGCUUAUUCAAUCCACAAUUACCUUGAACUGAAGUCCUAUUGGAGCUCUAUUAUUUUAGCAACGUCCUGUCAAAUAGGCUGCUAACUUGGGGUGGUAUGGACCCAAUGAUCCAUCUUAAUCUUGGGUUGAUUUUGUCUGACUCUAUCUAUCUCAGAGAGAACCAGGAUCACCAGUGCUGGUCUGCUUAAAGAAGACUCAGUACUGGAUUAAUAUUGGUUUGGGUCAAUAGCUUAUAAUGCAUUGAAUGCAGAAUAAACAAGAUCAAUGAAACCCAAAACACACUGCCCACACAACUUCACUCUGGUGUCUGUUAUUCAUCAAUUCUAUUCCCACAUGAACUGGUUCAAGUUUAAGAAAAUGACAACGGAUCCACUGUAUUAACUUGGUUUUGCUUGGUUUUGAGCUAGUUGCCAAACCAGCCAUGAGUUUUACCUCUAAUGUCAAUGAACAAACCCCAAAUGAACAACUGCAACAGCUUAAAGAGAAGGAAUGGAGAUGAAAAUCCCUGUUUCUUCUCAUUCUGGGGACAAAUUAGAACAUAACUACAAAGGUUCUAUUAAUUGACUUACUCUACCAUGAAUUAUGGUUCUUUGGUUUUCCAAAUUUAAAUUGUACAUGAGAUUAUUUUUUUCCUUUAUAUAUAAACAUAUUAAGGUUUUCUUAUUUCGUGGGCAAAUGCGCUAAGGAUGAAAGUCAUUUCAUUUGGCUGCAACAGCAUCUUAUAAUCAACAUGCAUAAGCAGCAGUUUUAAUUGAUCGAUUGAACACCGACUCACAAGAAUAGAUAGAAUGGUACAAGACAGCUCUUAUUAAUUUAUACUCGUUACUCAUUUUAUGUAGCCCCAUUAAGAUGGCUGGCUGGACCACCGAGGUCUGGGGGUGGUGUUGCUUGUGUGAUGCAGCGGGCCGGGCAGACACUUCUCUAGUUGCUUCUAUUUGGAGUUAGAGGAUCAGUCUCUGCCAACCUUGAGGACUCUCUACCUCAGAGGGUCCAGGUGGUGGACUCUGGUGUCGGUAGCUUUGAACUCUCAGUAGACUAGUGUGUCUUAAUCAGUCACUGCCAGAGGCUGGCGUAGGCAGUGACGAUAAGGUGAGACAAAUUACCGAAUAGUCAAUAUCGACUGCACUUGACCAUUAUAGAUUUGUUCUGACAAAAGUGAGAAAAGGGAGAAAAUCGGAUGUUGACCUUUAUAGAAAAAGAUAAGAUUUACUGCAACACAGAGCACUGAUUUGUUACUUGGAAACCAAGUUAUGCUAUUAGCUAGCCUCCAUUAGCAGCAGGGUACCUUGCUGCCUGAUCCUAAUCUGAGUUCCCAAGGUUUCAAUCUUCGUUUGUUAACGCUUCAGGAUUUGGAUAUUUCAGCUUCGUUUCUCCAUUUAGCCAACGCUGCCUGGUUUGGAUUUCAAUCCUCAUCUGGAACAUUCUUUUUUCGGUCUGAUUCAGGAAGUGUUUGGUGAUAGUUGAUUAAAAUUAAACAGUACUAUCAUACAAAUAAAGCUGAUCUAAUUUUGGUGGGCAAUAUACCAACUCAUUUAUUCUUGAAAACACCAUGGGGAAUUGGAGGUCCAUCCGAAGUACUAUUUGAUGGGACUCACAAAAAGAACAGGUGCACAUUUAUGAGAUCCGUGGAAGAGAUAACUAUGACAGCUAUGCAUGUACAACAGAUUUAUGUCGAGUUCACCUCGUAGAUAUUUUGUUUUCAGUGUCGGUGGACCCCAAAAUGGAAAUCGGAAAUUAAGGUUAUAUUUAUUUUUUUAUUUAAUUUUAAAUAGAAUUUUAAUUUUUAAUAAUAUUAAGUAUUAAAUUAUUUUUUUAAGGGUAUUUUAUUUUUAUUAAGUAUUAAAAAGUAAAAAAAAUUAAUAUGUUGCUUUUUUAUUUUAAAAAAAUUAUAUAUUUUAAUUUUUUCUAUUUACUAAAAAGUUUAUAAUAAAUUAUAAAAAAAUAAAAAAAUAAAAAACUUAAAUUCUGAAAAUAAAUUAUUUUUAAUAAAAAAAUCCAAAAAAGCAAACACCACCUAAAUUUGAGAUGACUCAAAAUUUUAUAUUUUUUUUCACCUAAAUUAUAUUCAUAAAUUUAAAAUUAAAAAAUUAGGAAGUUGAAUUUUAUUUUGGAUAAUUGGAAACUACAAGAAAUCAAUAAAAAUAUUUGGAAAAAAAAGAAAAAGAAAAACUAUCUAUAUAUUCACCCCCUUCUAAGAAACAUAACUUUAGUUUUUAACUAUUUUUUAAAAUAAUUUUUGAAAAAUGUUAUAUAAUAUUUUAUAAAACAAAAAAUCUGUUUGACAAUUUGAUAUGUCUUUAACUUAUUUUUAAUAUUUAUAUAUAUAUAUUUUAAAAAUAAUUUUAUAUUUAGAACUUUAUCUUUAAUUAUUAUAUAUAUUUAUAUAAUUAUUUUUUUUAAAACAACUCUUAAAAAAUAAGUGAAAGUAAUUGAAAACAACUCAAAGAUAUUUGAUGAAAACACUCUAAUUUGUAUUUUUGAGAAUAAAAAAAUAAAUAAAUAAAUUUCUAGUUAUCAAAUGUAUUUUUUAAUUCUUUUAUUCUAAAAAAUAGAAAAUCGUUUUUGAAAAUAAUUAUUAAACAACAUUCUUAAAAAUUCACUCGUUACAAUCUAGAUUUAAUGCAAGAAUGAUUGAAGGAGUCCUCCAAUAGAACCCAAAGUUAUAAACAUGAACAAGAAGCCCUAGAAACACCAAAGAUCUCAUAUGGUAUAUAUAUGAGCUUGAUUGAGAACUGUUUUAAAUUCAGUUUUUUUUUUUUUUUUUUUUUUUUGUUUUCAAAGUCAAAACAAGUUUACUUUUAAUUUUUACUUCUUUUUUUUAAUUUUAUAAAUAACAGUUUUUUAAUAAUUUAUUUUGAAAACAUGAUUAUUUUUAAAACUUAUAAUGAAAAUAGGAAUUUUUUUUUUAAUAUCAUGGUUAUUUUCCCUUCUUUUAAGGAGGGCUAUUUUAAAAAUAAAUUUACAAAUAUGAAAAAUGAUUCAAACUAAAGCAGUACAAAUAAAAAACAUUUUUAAGAAAUAUUUAAAAAUAGAGAAAAUUAUUUGAGAACAUUUGAAGUCCUUAAAUAGACUUUUGUUUUAGAAAAGGCAAGAUAAUUAUUUUUGAAAAUUGUUUUCAUAAUGAUAUGCAAAAACCUACGUAAAAACCAUAAUUAUAAUCGGCCACAUAUCAAAUCUACUAAAUAUGAAAAGUAAGUACAUAAUUAUAUUUGACUUAGAUGCAAGGAGGAAAAUGUCGCGAUAUUAUCGCCGAAAUAUCGUGUGUCGAAGGGUAUCGACACGAUUUUUCUUGCAGAAAUAUCGGCCAGUCGAUUUUUCGGGAUAAAUCUCGAGAAAUCGGCAAUUUAUCGCGAUAUAUCGGCGAUUUUUCCUCGAUAUAUCUUCUGGUCAACGCGGGUCAACGGAGUCAACACGCUACAGUGAAAGUCAAAUGUGCUACAAUGUCCCCGCUACAAUCACCUCCCCAAACAAAUUGCCAAAUUGCUUCCGAGGGGAUUUGAACCAGCCUUCUUGCCAUUUGGGCUAACUCGCCCUUAUGAUAUAUAUUGCAUUAAACAUAUAUAUACUUAAAGUCCUUAUAUAAAGAAAAUGUUAAAAAAAUAUUUUAAAGAGCAAAUUAAUUAUAAUUAUUUUAUAAUUAAAAGCAAAAUUUUCUUUUAAUUAAUUACCAAAAAUAUAAAAAUUAUAUAAUUUUCUUCAUAAUGUUUUUAAUAUCAUUAAUAAUUAAUUAAAUAUUAAAAAAUUAUAUAUAUAUAUAUAUAUAUAUAUAUAUAUAUUAUAAUUUAUUUUAUAUUGUUUAAUACAAUUGAAUUAAAUGGAUCAUAUUUUAAUAUUAAUAUAUAUUUUAAAAUUAGACAUAUUGUAAUCAAAUAUCAUAAUAUUAUAUGUAAUUUAAUAAUAAAUGUACACUUAUAAAAUUCAUAUUUUUAUCGAUGCAUACAAUAUUAUUAUCAAAUAUGAUAAAUCAUGUUAUACAUAUAUCAAAAUUUUCAAUAAAAUAACUUUAAAAUGUCUAUUAUACUUCUAAUUAUAUUAUUAUGAGGUUUUCUUUACAUUUUCAUGAGUUUUAAACAAUUUUAAGCACCAAUAUUUUUUUCCAAAAUAUCCACCGAUAUAUCUCCGAUAUAUCCAAUAUAUCUCCGAUAUCUCCGAUAUAUCCGUAAAAUCGAAGUACCGAUAUAUCCGUGAUUACCGAUAUUUUCAUCAUUGCUUAGAUGCAACCUUCUUCCAAAUGACAUACUUUAGUCAAUACUUAUAUUUUUUCGUUUCACUUCUUUGAUACAACACCUCAUGGAUUUAUUGUUUAAUUUAUUUGUAAUUAUAAAACUAUUUUUCAUUUUUAAUAAGACUUGAAUUAAUUUAAUAAAUAUUAUAUAAUUUGAAUUUAUAAUUCUUUUUAUAAAAUCAAAGUAUAUUAAAAAAAAAACAAUUUAUCCGAAGAAAGUUUUUUAUUUUUUAUUUUUUAAAACCGAUUUUAAAAAUAACUAGCUAGACACCCUUAUUUUGAUAAAAUACGAAAUAAAAGUGUAAAAACAACAUGGCCAAAUAGGGGCUUAAAUUUUAUUUUUAAAACAUUUUUUUACACUAAAGUGCAUUUUAAAAACACCAUCAAAACCAACUACAAGUUAUGCUUCUUCCCGUAAUAGAAAUAUUUUAGGCCAAAAUAGAACCUCCCCAAAUAAAGACCCUAUACUAAACUCCUUUUCAUUUUAUUAAUACAAAAGUGGGGAAAAAAGGUCUAUGCUCACCUAAAAAACAUGAAUAUUGUGAAUUCACCAUUUCUAUAAGGAAGUUGAAAACUUCAAAAUUUUAUCAACAAAUUCUCUAAAAUCCUCAAAAUAUAUAGGGCCUGUUUCACAAAGUUUUUUAAAAUUUGUUUUUAUAAAUUGCUUUUAAAAUAUAGAAUAAAUAACAGUUUUUUAGAUUUUUUGAAAAAUAAGAGUGUUUGGUAAGAUGUUUUUUUUUUUUUUUUUUUUUUUAAGAAUUAAAUAAAAAAUAAAAAAAUUGUUUAGAUAAAAGAAUUUGUAUUGUUUUUAAAAACAAUGUCUUACUUUUAUGUUAUAAAAAUUUUAUUAAUUUAAUUUAUAAUAAUAUGAAAUGAAAUUCAAGUUAAGUCUUAUUAAAAAAUACAAAUUAAAUCUAUAAUUAUGCAUGAGUUAAAGAUAAAUAUAUAUUUUUUAAAACUAUAAAAUAAAUUUUCUAUUAUAGUGAAACAAAAAUUACUAUAAAAUAAAAAUAAUUUUAAUAUUCAUUUUUAAUACAAGUCAAAUAAGUACUUUAAUUAAUUUUUUUUAUCAUGAUUUCUUAUGUUUUUUUUUUUUUCUAGAAAUUAUUUUAAGUAAUAUAACUAAUUUUUUUUUUAAUGUUUUAUAAAAAUAAGGAUAUUUGGCAAGUUGUUUUUAUAAAAGGAUUUUAAAAAUAAAUGGAUUUUUUUUUUUUUUAAAAAAAGAACAAAAUGAUUUGUUUGAAUAAAUUGUUUUGAUUUUGUAAAAACAUUUUAAAUUCAAUUUAUAUAAUAUUAAUUAAUUAAAUUAAAUUGAAGUUUUAUUGAAAAUAAAAAUAAUUUUGUAAUUAAAAUUAGAUUAAAAAAUAUAUAGGUUUUAAUAAAUCGUAAAUAGUAAUAUUAUAAUAAAAUUAUAAAUUAUAUUUUUAACAUAAAAUAUACUAUUUAUUACAUAUUAAAAAAAAUAUUUUAUUAUAUUAAUAAUUUUAUGGUAUUAAUGAGUUUAUUAUUUAAGUUUUAAAUUAUUUUUAAAAAUUAAUAAAUUUGUUAACAAAUGCAAUGUACUAAAUGUGGUUUAAUUUGGAGUUAAUUUGUUUAGGGAAAAAAAUAAAAAAUAAAAAUCUUAUGUAAAAGAGAAAUAAUAGAGUGUGUGUGUUUUUUUUUAUUAUUUUUAAAAAUCAGUAAAAAGAACUUUUACUUAUUGCCUAAAAAUUAUUCUCUAUUUUAUUUUAUUUUUUAAAUCUAGAAAUAGAUAACAAUAAUAAAAAAAAUUAAAAAAGAAAAAUGUUUUUUAAAACUCAGACUUAUAAUUGCUUUUGUUUCUCAUUCGCACCCCUGGAUUCCUGGAUUCUAAACACAAAAUUAAGUUGAAUCGUCCAUCUAUCUUGUAAGCCAAGAAUUCACAUAGAAGAAAUAAUCGGAAUUUGAUUUGAUAUCAGAUUUAGAGUGGCUCACUACUCAUGCAUUGUCCCACAAUAGUAAUGCUUUGGGCCGAGAUAAACCCAUUUGUGGGCCCAAAUAAAACCCCUGGUUUGAAAACAUCGAUUUUACAGUGGCCCAAAAGAUUAUCUAUGAGGGGAAGAUAACUUGGAAGUCAAGCAAACACAUUUAUCGCUAACUUUUCUCUAAUUAUAAAAUUAUAACUUGGUCUUCUACACGUCUCACUUAAGAGGCGGAGCCACUUGGCACUACCUUUCCAUAUUGUAAAAGGAGAAGAAGCAGAAGGAGAAGAUUCUUAUGCCAUUCCACACACCAUGGCUAGUACUGCUAUGCUGCUUGGCCCGCCGGCUCUCCGCCAUCCUAAUUCUCCCGCCGGCACUGUCUUUGAAGAUGGGGUCAUUCUAACGGAUUCCCUGAUCGUCCGCACCAGUAAUCUGGAGCUUUCUGAAAAACCGCCACUGGAAUCCCUGGCGUAGUGCUCUGUCAGUGGGGAUAUUGCUAUGGAUUGUUUGGAUUCCCAAGCCCACAAUCUUCAUCUUCCCGGGAAACCGCCGAUGGGCUUAACGGAAAACAAGUCUCCGACCUUUUUGUCUUCCGGGAACCCGUGCUUGGACUUCUUCUUCCAUGUGGUUCCCGAUACGUCGUCUGAUGAUCUGAUCCGACGGUUUGAGUUGGCUUGGGAAUUCAAUCCGCUGACGACGUUAAAACUGAUAUGCAACUUGAGAGAGGUGAGAGGCACCGGAAAAUCUGACAAAGAGGGUUUCUACACGGCGGUUCUCUGGCUCCACGACCACCAUCCCAAAACCCUAGCCUGCAAUGCUAGGGUGUUGGCCAGCUUCGGUUAUUUCAAGGAUUUUCUCGAGAUUCUCUACCGGCUUCUGGAGGGCCCUAAAAUUCGAAGAAUCGAAAAGAAAGACUGGCUGGAUCGAAAAGGAAGGAAGAAAAAUUCCCGGAAAAGGAACUCAAUAUUCAAGCGAGAAAAUAGGCCUGGAGUUGAAUUUCCUGUAGAAGAGAAGGAUGUGGAGUAUAUGGUGGAAGAAUUUGUGGAUAAAGAAAAGGCUAGGGUACUGAGAAAGGAGAGAGAACUUGCUCUUGCCAAAAGAGCCCUGCACAAGUAUUCUACUGAUUCUAAUUAUCAGUUCUUACAUGAUCAGAUUUCAGAUUUAUUUGCUGAACUUCUGAAAUCUGAUAUUCAGUAUUUAAACUCCGGUGAGCUUUACAAGAUUAGUCUCGCAUCCAAAUGGUGUCCCACAAUUGAUUCUUCUUAUGAUAAAUCCACCUUGAUAUGUGAAAAUAUUGCUCGAAAGGUUUAUUCUCGCGAGGAAUAUAUAUCCAGAAUACCAAGGAAUUGAGGAGGCUCACUAUGUUAAUAGAGUCAGGGAUAGGUUGAGAAAACAAGUACUUGUUCCAUUACGUAAGGCCCUGGAGUUGCCAGAGGUUUUCAUGUGUUCGAACCAGUGGGGAUCACUUCCCUACAACCGUGUGGCUUCAGUGGCCAUGAAAUCAUACAAGAGCCUCUUCUCAAAACAUGAUACAGAGCGGUUUGGUGUGUAUCUUGAGAAAGUGCAAACUGGGAAGGCUAAGAUUGCAGCUGGUGCAUUACUUCCCCAUGAGAUUAUAGCUUCAUUGAAUGAGGAGGAUGGCGAGAAAGUUGCAGAGCUUCAGUGGGCGAGAAUGGUGGAAGAUUUAUCAAAGAAUGGGAGGCUCACAAAUUGCAGUGCGGUAUGUGACGUAUCAGGAAGUAUGAGUGGAACUCCAAUGAAGGUGUGUGUGGCUCUGGGGCUGUUAGUUUCAGAGCUCAGUGAAGAUCCAUGGAAAGGUAAUGUAAUUACUUUCAGUGCAAGUCCUGAGCUUCACAAGAUCCAAGGAGACAGCCUUGUAUCCAAGACUGAAUUUGUGAGGAUGAUGGAAUGGGGUGCGAACACUGAUUUUCAGAAAGUUUUUGACAGAAUCUUACAAGUAGCAGUGGAGGGAAAUCUGAGUGAAGAUCAAAUGAUAAAGAGGGUUUUCGUUUUCACUGAUAUGGAGUUUGAUGAAGCUUGUGGGAGGUAUAACUAUUGUGAAUAUGACUAUGAUAUGGAGGAAAUUGAUGAGAGUCAGAAGGCAUCUCAGAAGUGGGAGACAGAUUAUGAAGUGAUACAGCGGAAAUUCCAGGACAAAGGAUAUGGAAAAGUUCCGGAGAUAGUGUUUUGGAACCUUAGAAACUCAUCAGAGACUCCAGUGAUGGCCACAGAGAACGGGGUGGCCUUAGUAAGCGGGUUUUCGAAGAAUCUGUUAGACCUUGUUUUUGGAAGGAGGUGGAAUUCUGACCCCUCAGGAUGUGAUGGAAUUAGCCAUCUCUGGUGAAGAUUACAAGAAACUUGUUCUAUUUGAUUAAGAUAUCAAGAGAUUUAUCAAUAAUAAUAUGUUUUUUUUUUUCUAUGUGAAAUACAUGUAAUAUUAACUAUGGAGUUAUCAAAGUUCUGGAAAUUUAAUUAUUUCUUCUUUUCAAGUUUUGUUUGUCUUUGUUAGGAAUUCCCCUUGGGCGGACCCAGCUGGGGACUUGGAUUGAGGAAGUAAGGAGGCGAAAUUGUGUUCUUCUAUGGACAGAGAAAAAAGAUAAAAAUAAAAAAUAAAAAAGGAGGUUAUUUGCAUUUGGAUGUCAUGUGGUUUCAGGGUACAACUACAAGUUCGAAAUUGUACAUAAUGUGAAAAUUCCUGUGUGGAGAACAGCAUAAAUAUGUAUCUCAGUGUGUUUUGUUUGAGCUAAUUGGCAAAUUCGCUUUAAACAUGGUCACAUGGAUGCAUAUUUAUUUGUGAAAUGAUAGUAGUCGAUUACUUGGUCAGUAAGGUUUGUAUCUCUAACUCCAACAUCUUAUUGUAGUCUUUUAAAAUGUCAAAAGUUUAAUGCUAGCUUGAGAAAUUUUGGAAUGGAGACAUUCUAAACAAAGUUAAUAAUCCAUGAGACUUGGUAAAACCGAUCAGAUGAUGCUUACGUACAUGAAUGCCUUCUUUAAGCCGUAUCCUAUUUUCAUUGAAUGAGACGUGCCAUCUAGUUUUGUUCUUGUCUUGAUUGGAUCAUGAUCCCGGGAAUUGAUUACUGUUCUGAAUUUGCGAAUGUUCAAGGUAUUAGAGAAAGUUAAUAUUAUCGUUAAUUUACAUAUUAGUAUUUAUCUAGUUAUUAUAUAUUAGUUUGAAUUAUAAUAUAAUAUAGAAUUUGAAUCAAGUUUACUAUUAGUUUGAAUUACAAUAGGAAAUAAAGUUUGAAUUAUAGUAUAACUCAAAUAUAUUUGUAUAUAAAUAUCCAUCUUUAUCAAUGAGAAUAGUAAACCAUAUUUUUCUCUAUCUUCUUCUUUCUCUAUAUAUAUGGUAUCAAAGCCUCCAAAUCCUAAACCUAGUCUCAACUUAGAGCAAAUUUAGGGUGCAGGGUUUAGGCCCCGCCUCCCCCAACCCUUACCACAAAUGGUAGUGACCUUGUUAUGCCUAUGUAUUGUCAAUGCCUCAUUUUCUAUGGUCUUCAAUACAAUAUCUAGUUUCAAUGUCUCUUUCCUUACUAUCUCCAAUGCAAUAUAUUGAUUUCAAUAUCUCUUUACAACCAAGAGCUCCAAAUUUUCCUGGUUCAAAUCUACCAUAAUUUUUAUUCUCCUUUGCUUUUUACCAAUAUUAGUUCCCCUAAUUUAAUAUAUAUCUCUUUAUUACCUUCAACUCUACCUCUCUCUUUCUUUAAAAGCUUCCUCAAAGAUUUGAUUGCUUUCUUGCAUGUUUUGGGAAAACAAACAUGCUCAUAUUCUAUUACCUCUACUUGAGAUCUGCCUUAUACUCUACCUUCUUCUUUACCUCCUAUAUCAUCUACUACAUUAGCUUCAAAAACAUUAUUUAGUUUGAUGCUAAAUAAGGCUCCUAAUCCUACCCUUCCUUCAACUAACUUUCUUUUACAAGUCCCUCAAAGUUUUUUUUUUUUUUUUUUUGGAAAUUUGGCUUAGAAAGAUUUCAUUACUCUUACCUAAUCUUUCAACCAUCAAGUCGAAUCCACUUAUCUCUUGAAUCCAAGGAGACUACCCUCCACAAAAACAAGGAGAUUGACCCCCACAAUAACAAAGAGAUUGUCCUCCAUAGAAACAAAGAGAGCUUCCUUCAUGGAAGCCGAAUACAUCGCAAUCUAUUUUCUUUCUCUCAAGAUCAAAUCUCCAAUCGGAGCUCCAUCUUGUGGGGAUAUAUUAGAAAAAGUUAAUAUUAUCCUUAAUUUACAUAUUAGUAUUUAUCUAUAUUAUAUAUUGAAUUAGAAUAGAAUAUAGAAUUUGAAUUAAGUUUACUAUUAGUUUAAAUUACAAUAGGAAAUAGAGUUUGAAUUAUAGUAGAACUCAAAUAUAUUUAUAUAUAAAUAUCCAUCAUUAUCAAUGAGAAUAGUAUUCCAUAUUUUUCUCUUUCCCUGAGGCUUCAGAAUGUGAUCUUGAACAUUUGAUCUUUUGGAUUCUUCUUGUUUCGGUGGUUUAAUAUAAUGGAAUGUUUAAUUAUAGCCUACUUUAUCACCAUGGAUGUGCUCCUGCAGAUUUCUUGAGGGUGAUGGUUAUUUUGUCAUGUUUCUUGAAUGGUUUGCAUCAGCUGCCUGAGCUGUUGUUGCUGGUCACUUUUGCAACCAGGGAAAGAAUCAUGGCUUUGGAGAAGCCAGCUUCUGUUUUUGUUGCCCAGCUGUUAGUUCACUAAGAUUGGGGGUCCUAACAUGUAUGUAUAAUCAUAAGCAAGGAAAUUUUAUGUCUUACGCUAGAUAGGUACCAUGAUAUGAUGUUUGAUUGAUUUAUUAACUCUACCUGUUUCAAAAGGCAUCAACAUUAAUUUUACCCUUUUAACACAUUGGAUUGUUUGACCUUACGAGAUUUUCUAUUUCUGUACUAUUUGAACUGCAAUCGUUAUGGUCCUUAGGUCUCUAAACCUUCGUUUAAAAUAAAAGUAAGGAGCACACAUAGUAAAAGUUAAUUUUGGGUAACUUUUAAAACAAAGAGAAAAGUAAAAGUUGUUUUUGAGAAAAACAUAUAGAAAUUGAAAGAUUUUUUAUUUUGAGAAAAAAAAGUCAUAGAAAAGAAAUAAUAUCCCCAUAUAAGUAGAUAUGAUCUAUCCGAAGUGUAGCUACUCUCCUGGAUUUAUUCUAACAUUUUAAAAUUUUUCUCAAUGGGCAAAGGAAUAUCAAAUCAAGCUUGAGUAGGAUUAAUUUCUUAAUUUUUAAAAUAACUUAUAAUUAAAAUUUUUUGGUGUUUUCUUUUUUGGACAAUUUUUUAUGAAGACUCUGAAUCAUGCAAGAGAUAUGGUUAUUUUAAAAAAAAAAAUAAUUUAAAACUCAAAUACAUAAUCAAUGUCACAAAUUUAUAAACAAAAGGUUUUUAAAAAAUACUAUUAUUUCCCCUCUACACAUAAUUUUACUUUUCCGAUUUAUUUAUUUUUGUUGGAAAACAGUCUUCAAAUCAAGUAAAAUUAAUAUGUUAAAUUUGUUAAACAAAUAAAUUUUAAAAUACAAUUUGGAACUCAAAAAUCAAUUCAAGUAAUGCUAAAAUUCAAAAAAUCAAAUUUGGAAUAAAAUGACUUUGUAAAUUUUUUUACUAAACAAAUGAAUUUUAAAUCAAGUGAGAUUUAAUACAUUGGAUUUUUAUGAGAAUAGUAAUUUUAAAAAUUAAUUUGGAACUCAAAAAUAGACACAAUAAAUACCAAAAAUCAAUGAACCAAAAUUGGUUUGGAAUAACUCCAUAAUUUUUUAUUUAUUUAUAUAUUUAUUUUUUUGUGCACACGAAUUUCUUACUAAGCAUAUUGCUUCCAAAUUGAGAAAAAUUUACUAUUUAGAUUUUUUUAAUGAGUUUAAUGGUAUUUAAAAAUAAUUCAAAAAUUCGAAAAUUGACUAAUUUAAUAUUAUAAAUUCAUAAACCAAGACUAAUUCAAAAUGCAUUGGGGGCUAAGGGGGUUGAAAUUAAUGCUCCAUUUGGUUGUGGCCACCAAUUGGCAAUGGCCACCAAUCAACCAAUCAAGGUGGCUAAGGGGGUUGAAAAUAGGGACAAUGGGGUGGGUUUGGGACAGGACACUCAUAUCCCAUUCCCAUCCCAAUUACACAGUUAUUUCCCAUCCUUAUUCCAAACUUGUGUUGGGGCAAGUUGAUUUGUUCCCAUCUUUGUUAACGAAAUGACUAAUAACCUCAUCCUCUCCUUGUCUUAGAUGUACAUUUUCUCAAAUUUGGUCAGGUAUGAUUGAUUCAAGCCCUAACCUUAAUUGGUAAUGAGUGGAUACCACACCUAAUUGCAUUCUUCUUUCGUUGCAAAAUAAUGAGAUUAUAAUAAUCUAGCAAAUAAGAAAAAAUAGUAUGGAAGUUCAAAUUAACACCAUAACUAUCAAUAAUUUUAAGCUUAUAGAUGACUUAAAUGAUUGAAAACUAAUGCAAAAUACUAAAAAAAAAAAAAAUCAUCUAAAGAAUUCACAAGAGAAUAGAACGAACAAAACCAAAUAGGAACAUGGGUCAACAUUAGUUACAGAUUUUGAUCCCUUUCAAGGCCAAUCUUUGAACCAAGACUUCAUCAAAUCUACUACUUCAAAGGCUUUUGUGUUCUUCUUGAGUUGUACUCUGGAACAAAGACUUCGAGGUGAUGCUUUAGAUGAUUGCAUUACACAUAUUUAGGGUAGGGAGAUUGGAGAAGCUUGAAGAUGCCAACGAUGGGUACAAUUGAGUGGUCAAUAAGAACAAUGUGGCCUAUGACUAGUUUGAUGUCAUGGUAUAGGAGUUUUGGGCAUUGAGGUGAAAGCAAGAGCAACAUGGAAUUGAUUUCAAAGUCUUUCAAUUAGUGUAAAGGAGGAAGAAGAAGUGGUAUUGAUCCUAGAAAUAGUGUUUUAGGUGUUGCAUUAGAGGAAAAGAAAAAGAAAAAGAAGGAACCAUUGGAAUUAGUACGAGUGUGAAGAGAGAAGUGUAUACAUAAGGGGAAGUAAAAGCAAAGUUCUAAAAAUUUAUUUUUUUAUUGGUGGUGUAUGGUUGCAUGAUUAUCCCUAUAAAUAAUAGGAGUUUUUUGGUGUUCUACUAGUAGUUGAAGGAUAAUUUCAUAAGAUAAUAUUUAGAGCGGGGUGGGGUGAGUUGUGACAAAAUCCAUACCCGUCCCAAACAUUGGUUCAGGUUUUUAAAAUAUUUUCAAACUUAUCAUAUACCCAAUUUUAUAUUUCAUACUUGUCCUAAUAGAGACAGGUUAGUCAGGGUUACUUGAGUAGCCUACAAAACUAUCAUCCCUAGUUGAAAUGCUCUUUUUGGCAGUGGCAGCUAGAAGCUCGAUCGAUUGACCUACAAGACUAGUUGUCAUCAUUUUAAAAAGAGUUUUGGCUUUGGUUGUGAGUGCAAUUGAAUCUAAACUAACAUUUCCUUAAUGCAUCUACUUCAAUCCUAAACUUCUUACUUAAGCCUCAAUUGUUGUUAAGAUUUUGGAAAACCCAUUUCCUUAAAUUGUAAAUUUAAGAAAAAAAAAAUUAAAAGUGAGACAUUUCUUGAUUGAAUGUUGUUAAAGGUCCCUUGGAAUUAAGACUUGGUUGAAGCCUUGGAAGAUUAGCAGAACUCUCAACUUAUGUUUGAACCUUGAGGAGAGUGGACGUAGGCCAAAAUUUUGUCAAACCAUUAUACAAAUUGAGUUUGAAUUCUCAUUUCUUGAUUUCUUAUUUAUUUGCUUUUUCUUAUUAUUACUUGAAUUGUCAUUUGCAUUCAUUAAUGUUAAAAUUGGUUAUAAUUAGCCAACACUAAUUCUCUUUCCCCUUCCCUUAAUUUCUUGGGUGUAAACCUAGGUUGGAUUAACUAGAUUUUAUCAAAUCUAUUAAGAUGGUAAAAGAAUAAUUAUUCUUAACAUACAUAAGAUCAUCUUCAAUCAAAUGACUCAUUGGCUGAUAUGUUGAAUUUGCUUAUUACUUGCAACUCAAAAUUGUGUUCUAGUUGAUAUGUCAAGUCCUGAGUGUAUGGACAUUAAAUUUGUAGUACGUGAUGAGUAUUUAGAUGGUCCAAUUCCAAGAAAGUGAUUGAAAACUAGUUCAAGAAAGGUGCAAAAGGGAAUUGUUUUGGUAUUUUCGUUUUUAUUCUUGAAGGUGGCAGAGCUAAAAUUUGAGAAAUCAAGCAAAACAUACUGAAAUUACAUUGAAAGAAAGAAAAUGGGAGUUAAUGUCUUGCAGUACAUGAUAAGGACUUCAUGCAUGUAGUGUGACCCAUGUCUUGGACUGAUGCCACACUCACGGUUACACUUAUACCCUUAGUUCUCUCUUUACUACCUUAGCUAACCUAGAUCAGGUUAUGAGAUAGGCACCUCACCACACCAUUACUUGCCCAUUAAUUAGUGACAUUUUCAAGCAAUGAGGUAACAUGGUGACACCAAGAGGGUAUAUUCCUCACCCCCAACAAGCCUAGACCUGGUCUAAAAAAAAUGGAGAAAAAUGACGUGUUGUUAUGCAGAAAUAUAGCAACCAUGCCUUCCUCAUUACUUAGAUUCAGAAUGUGAAGGUGAAAUUGAGAAACAGAAACUCUUGAAACCAAAAUGAAAAUUGAUACUUUUACGAAGAAUUACAACAACAUUAGAGGAAGACUACAUUCUUCCUCUUUAUUCCUACAUUUCUACACUACUUCUACUCCACUCCAUAUUUCUACAUACAUCUUUAAUCAGUCUUCCCUCCUUUAUAUAGAGCCAUCUUCACACAAAUUCCGCAAGGUAGAAAAGAGGAAUGAAACUUGGAGCAAGGUUCGACUACUGGCUGUAGCUUGUCAAGGCUGAAAGUGAACUUUUUUUCUUGGCUUUUCUGGGCAUAGGUAGUAACUUGUAGGUUCCUUUUUGGAAUGAAAAUGGUACGGCUAGAACAUGUGGCACUCUCUUGUUGGAUGAUGUGUCAAGCAUGUGGCAGCCAUCUAGUGGAGAUUAUGUCAAUUUUGGGAUGGAGAGUUGGCAUCCAAUUGCAAAGAAAUAUGACAUCUACCAACAUGCAAUGUCAACCUAUGUAGAUCAUAUGAAGAUAGAGAGGAAAAAUAUAGAAAUGGAUAUAUAACUAGAACUAGCUUUUUAUUAAAUGAGACGGAGAGCCAACAAUGAAGGAAAAUCAAAAUUUUUGGCUCAUAUCAAAGAAUUCACAUUGUGUUACCCUAGGUUUUCUUAAAACUUACUUUUAUGAUAAUAAAAAAUCAUUAUUGUUUAAUCCUUUGUUUUAAACGCAUGUUUAGCAGGUUGUAAAAUGUAAAUAUCUUUCGAAAUUCAAAUAUGAAGAUAUGACAUCAUUUCAAGCAAUAUAGUCUCUAGGAAUUAAUGUAAAGCUAAAUUAAGGUGCAAUUAAGUUAGUUCAAUGCAUUAUUUUAAGAAACUUGACCUAUCAAAACCUUGUCUUACUUCAAAGCCUCUUUUUCUUUUCUUCCAACUAACAUUUUAAUAAGUGAUCGCAAAAGUACAAAAUUAGAUGAAAUCCAUUUCAAUGGUUAAAAUGAUCAAAUUCAAACUUUUUCUAAGUAUCUUUUAAAAGCAUCAAUAUUGAAAGACAAUUUUAUAUUUAGUCAAAGCUUGGACAGAGCCAAAAAGCACACAAAAAUUUAUAUUUUCUAGCUCUCUACCUUGGAUGGUCUCUUGAUCCUACUUGGAGAUGUGCAUAAAUAAAAGGAUUUGAAAAUGACAAUUGACUAAGUAUGUAGUCAAUCAAUUACUCAUUGAUUGACUAGUUGAUCAAUUAACUUUGCAACAUCAUAUGCAAUCCUAAUAGCUAGUCAUCUAAUCAACUAGGUAGUAAAUCAAUAGGCCAAAAAUAUGUUUAUAAUGACUAUUUUGUACAAAAACCACUUAUAUAGUUAAAUAUAAUGCAUUUCAUUUAUAAAUCUUCUAAUUCUUGAAUAACAAUCCUAUCAUCCUUUGAAAGUUUUUAUUACACCUUUUCUACAUUUGUUCUAAAACUUAUACAUCACCCUUAAUUGUACCAUGAGAACCUAGCAUUUUUUUUUUUUUUUUUGUAUUUCAUCAAAGUUAGCUCUUGUACUCAUUGUUGUAUUAUUUUUAUUGUAACUUAGAGAGCGAGUGUUUUCAAGUGAGUGAAAUUGACUUGUAAAUAUUGUAAAGAUUCAUUGAUAUGUAUCUCAAACUAGGUGUACAAGUUGAAACAUUUGCUAGUAGAUUUUCUCAAGAUUUAGAAUGAGCUUAAGGCUAUCGAAUUAGGUGGGGUUGCGCCAAACCAUAUCACAUCGUUGUUUGCACCUUUUUUUUCACUCUCUUUUACUUAGUUGCUCUAUAUAUAUUGUCUAGCAAUAUCCUAAAGGCUUGAUGGGCUAGGGAGCAUCCCUCUGAAUGAAAAAUUUUCAUUCAAUUCUUAGUUGUAUUACGCAUAUAUAAAAUGCCUCAUUGUUUUAAUGGUAUUCAGUCGUGGCACCACAGAUAUGGACAUCUAAAUUUUAAAAGUUUGAAACUUUUAGCUAAAGAAAAUAUGGUGCUUUGCCUUUUUGGAAAGCAUGUUGAUGAAAUCCAUGAGAAUUGUAUACUUGGAGAGCAACAUCGAGAUAACUUUUUUUUUUUCUUUUUUUAUAAUGCAUUGUUUGUCCAAAUUCCGUACAAAUUAGGCCACCACAUGUUCAUAAUUCUCCCUUCUUGAAUUUGAAAACUCGGACAAUUUGACAAUGCGACACCUAAGUCCGGUUUUUAAAUGCUAAAGUGAAAGGGCAGGUAUGGACCAUUGAAAUGUGAUAACAACUUUUGGCCUUUUCCUUUUCUCUGUAGCCAUGUUGUCUCUUUUUAAUUUCUUUUGCAUGAUUUUCUUACCUAAACAGAAUCAUAGACUUGUUUAAUCUCUAAGUGGGAUUUCAUCCACCUUAAGCUACUGUAUUAUAUCUCGGUGGAGGACAACCGACAUAGAGCACAUGCAAGUGGGUAUAUGGGACAUGAAAUAUCUUCUUAUAAAGCUUGUUUUGCAGUUAAAUUAAUUGGAUAAGUAGACACUGGCGUUUCUAAAUUUCCCACCUAAGAUAAUGACCUUAUCCUUGACUGCUAGAUACACAAACAAUUAUACCUUCAAAAUCUACUGUGAAGUGCUUCAUGUAUGUGUGAAGUAUUAGAAAUUUCUUUCUUGGCAACUUGUUUUUUUCUUUGCGGUCUACUGAUAGGUUUGACUAAAAUUAUAUUCCCUGUCCUGCUAAUUAAUUUUCACGUGCAUGCUCAAAAGAAGAGUAUGACCUUAGUGCACCAAAAUCACUUUCAAUAAUUUGUGAUAAGUUUUUUUGCAUGACAUUAACCUUAUUCAUUUAGAUAAUGUUUAGUUCUCAUAAAUAUUAAGAAAAUGAAAAUAAAUAUUAAGAAAAAUAUUCUUAUAUUUGAUUGUAUUAUGAAAAAUAUCAUAAAAAAUCAAAUAUAAUUAAAAUUAAUUAAUAAUUUAUAUAUUUUAAAAUUAUUUAAUUUUUAUAUUAAAGAUAUAAUAUAAAUGAAAUGAGUUUUAAGUAUUAUAUAAAAAUGAUUUAUUUAUUUAUUUAUAUAUAUAUAUAUAUAUAUAUUUAGUUUUUCUCUUUAUUUUAUUUUCCUUAUGUUUUCCUCACAUUUUCCGGAAUCAAAGAUAGGGAAAUCCACAAUUACCUUCAACUGAGUAGAUUCUAUUGUUUUAGCAAUGUUAGGCUGCUAACUUGUGGUGGUACGAACCAAAUGAUCCAUGUUAAUCUUGGCUUGAUUUAAUUUGGCUCUAUCUCAGAGAACUCAAGGAUCACGUCAACUCUGGUUUCUACUAUUCAGGUCCAUUCCCAGAUGAACUGGUUCAAAUUUGAGAAAAUGGUAACAGACCUUUAGUGAUAUUGGUUUGGAGCCAGUUGCCAAACCUGCCCUGAGCUUUACCACUAAUGUCAAGGGACAAAGCCAUUUGAACAAAAACAAUAGCUUCAAGAGACUGAAUCGUGGAUGAAAUCUGAUCCACAUUUCUUCUCAUUUUGGGAAAAAAUGAGGACUUAACCACAAAGAUUCUACUGCCUCAUAGUGCUUUUCCUGAUCUAAGGUUGGCUCGUUUCCCAAAUUGUGAGGUGCACGUGCCACUCUCACGCUCAGGAGUGUAUCCACGUGGUGGACAUAAGAUGGUGGCUUAAUAUCUGGUGUCGGUGGCUUUACUUUACUAGGAGAGUAGUGUGUCUUCAUCUCAUUCACUGCCAGAGGGUGGCGUAAGCAGUGACGCUAAGGUGGGGCACAGUCAAUAUCAUUUGCAUUUGACCAUUAUAAUUUUCUCCCGGCUUUAAAGUAACCUUAUCGUGAUAAUGGAUUACUAGCACUAGUUCAGAUGACAGUCAUGUUAAAUUCGGACCAUGUUUGUGUCACAUUAUCAGCAACCAUGUGCUUGUGGUUCAUGCUAUCUGCAACUAAACUUGAUAUAUAACCAGGUGAACUUCAAUCUAAAUUCUGGAAGUACUCAUGUGAUAGAUGGUGCCUGUCUGCAGUGAGUGUAUCUAUAAGAGGGAAGGCUUGGCAAAUGUUCAGUUUUCUGGGAAUUCAACAGGGAUCUAAAAUAGAUUGUUUUCUUUGCUGAUUUCAAUGGUUGAAAUUUGAGAAGAUUGUGUCCACAUAACACAACUAUUACUGGUCCUUCUGUUGCAAUUUAUCCUCUAAGGCUCUAACAUGUCUUCCAAUUCCCACUUCCCACUUCCCUGUUACUCCAGGAAAGCUGUUUCUGUCAUUGUGAAGAAGAAAAGAGACUGUACAUAUCGAUGCUUUUAAGUGGACUGGAGAAUUCAUAUCAGGUGGUCUGCAGCCAUACAUGCCACUUUGUGAAGGUUGGAACAGUCAAUCACUAGGCUAUAUUAGUGGGGCCCAGCCACUUCAAUCAAGGACAAGUCUUCAUACUUAAAGUCAAAUUCUGCCUUUAGUCUCAUUAUAAAUUGCUGUUUAAAUAUCAAGCAAACAUUUGUUUAAUGCGAUUAAGACAGCACUAACUCAAUACUUGUUCUAUUUUUGGAUGCAAAUGCUUGAUAGUUUCAUCAUUGGAGGGGAUAAAGGUGCAUUCAUGAUUAUGAAUACUUGUAGUUAUAUUUUCAUUCUCUUUUUUCUCAAUGGGACUUGUUGGCACAAUUUUGCUGUUCAGAAACCUACCUCUCCAUGGAAAAUCAGUUGUGAUUGAUAUUACUGGAUAUAUUCAAGAAAGCUAAAUGUAGAUAGCACAAAAUAUUAUCGACAUAAAUAGCAUUAACAGCGUACGUAUGUCUCAAUGCUCAUCAGCUAUAAGCAAGGGGCAAACACUUACUAUGAGCAACUUACGUCAAAAUUCCGGAAUAGGACAUAGAAGUGACAGGUCAGUAAAUAUAGAACACUGCAUAUGAGUCACAAGAAAGGAAAUUACGGGUACAUAGCAGCUCUUAUUUUACAUCCUACUCAUACUGAUCAAAGUCACUCAGUUGGGAUGGGUGGGAGUGGGAGGUUUGUGGGGUGGCUUGUGCGGAGGAGUUGGCAGCUUCUUUCCAGGACCUGGUUGCUUCUCUGCUGGAGUUGAAGGAGGCUUAAUCUUCCGAGGUGGCUUGUAUGAGUCUUCAGCAUUCUCAGCAGGAGGGUGACCAGGGUUGUGACCACAAUGUGGUGGCUUCUCUCCCUUAGGUGGUUUGCCAACUGGGGUUGGUGGCUUGUGUUCCGGAAGUGGCUUCUCUUUGUGUUCAGGAGGUGGCUUCUCCACUGGAGGCUUGUGUUCAGGAGGUGGCUUCUCCACCGGAGGCUUGUGUUCAGGAGGUGGCUUCUCCACCGGAGGCUUGUGUUCAGGAGGUGGCUUCUCCACCGGAGGCUUAUGCUCUGGUGGUGGCUUCUCCACCGGAGGCUUAUGCUCUGGUGGUGGCUUCUCCACCGGAGGCUUAUGCAAUGGUGGUGGCUUCUCCACCGGAGGCUUGUGUUCAGGAGGUGGCUUCUCUACCGGAGGCUUAUGCUCUGGUG